UGGUUCCAGACUGAUGAAGCCAUGGAGGAUCCUUCUGAGUAUGAAUUGUCUUCUGAUGGCAGUGGACAUCAACCUCAACGCCAUUGCUACAUCAAUGUGCUCGAUUUAUGUUUAAAGUACCUCUGAACUUUGUGAUGACAUAUGGUUAAUUCAUGCCUUAUUUUAUAAUCUAUGAUAACUACGUCAGGUUUCUGGAGUCUUGGGUUUGUAUUAUCCCUCAUUUCUACCUCGUGAAACAUUUCUCUGGCCCCCCCCCCCCAACCCCCCCCACUGAAUCGUUUAAAGAAUUGAUGUGGAUAUGAAUUUGAUUGUCUACUACUUUAAAGUAUAAUCUACUGUGGGAGGUGCUCUUGGUUUGGAGCAGAUUAGUGGCUAUUUCACUUGACGCGCUUUAAUGGCAUCCGCAAUGUUGACCAUCUUAGAAAUCAUGUGAGCAGCCAGCUUGUGACUAAUGCUCUCGAGAAGGUUUUCAUGCAGAAACCCAUUCUCGUCCUCUGGUUUUAGCAGGGAAAUCCUAGCACUUAAAUUCAGAACACAACACAGAGGAAGACGCCUGACGAUAUGAACUAAACACAGGGACGUCUUGGCACGAUGAGGUUUGUACCUGUCUCUGGCUGAGGAAAAUAUCUAAUGGACCCUUAUAAGUUUAUGGACAGAUGGUAUCUACAGCAAAUGUUUGAUCAAAAGACUUGACGUUUCCGAGCGUCCCCCUAGACCGGGCUUCAGUCAGUUGAGUCUUGAAUAUUUAGUGCUAACCAUUGGUGCGAUCUCCCCAUGUGCGUAUCUCCUGCGUGUGCAACGAAGGCAGAAGCAGACUGAGUCCCGCAGAAUGAUAACUAUUAAAAGUUCUCAUUUCUUCUGUUAUUGUGGCUGUGGUGAACACCGUGGUAACGGGGCAUUAGCUUGUGGAAUGAGAGCAUAGGGCAUGGUAAAUUGAUUUUGUUUCCUAGACAUAAUUUGUAUGCGUGACUUUCAUGCUUGAGACAAAAAGGGGUGGAAGCUAAAUUGACCAACAGAUCUUCCGGAGGAUGAGCUCCUACUUUGUCAUUGAAAAGGUAAGAUUGUCUCGGGAUUGCAUGAUUUCCUAUAUCCACGAGGAGUCGAUACUUAAAAGUCAUUCACAAGGACCUGAAAAUAAGCAAUGCACUUUUUGAGCGCUAUUCUAGAUCUUAAAUUUUCAGGCUUAGGUUGGCAAUAAGAAAGUUGCAGAAAGGACAAGUACAAAUAAGGAUACCUAGAAAGUCUGUAGCUUGUUUUGUAGAGGCCCACUGGUCUACUUCCGGACAGUUUAGAGACAUGAUUGUUCGAUAGUGGCUUAGCCACCAACACAUGCCUUCGAUGAUUUAGAGUAAAGUCUUAUGAAUGUGGAUUGCUUUUGGUAGACAGCAGUAAAAGGAAUAUAGGAGAUUUAAUCAAAGUCAUCACCAUUUUGGACAUUCAAGGAGCAGAAUAUAAUAGUAAUGUUGUAUGUCAGUUUCUUUGAUUUCGUUAAAGCUGUGGGCAUUUAUUUGCAAGCUAUAGCUUCUGCUGCUGAUAUUGAGCUGAAGGGGACGGUAUUAAAUGUGAAUAUAGAAGACAGAACAGUUGACAAAAAUGUGAAAAUUUUGAAUUUGGGAGGGAAAUAACCUUGCUUGUAAUUGAAAAUAGACUAGGCGGGAUUCAUUCAGGCAUAGCCCUUAUAUGGAGACUGCUAUACGAAUGACAUUGUUCUUUUUUUUUCUUGGAAAUCAUAGUAAUGAUCAUUCCAAAAUUUGCAUUAUCCAGAGACAACUUGACCAGUGCACAUGAAGUUAGACAAAUGAGCAAGACGUCAAUAUAUUCGCAGCAUUCAAUAUUAACAAAUCCAAUUGUGUGAAAGCACAUCAGGCAUUGGAUUUCGAGAAAAUAUAGAAUGGAGUGAUGGUAGGAUAUGUUCAACGACCUUGGAACCAUCUAGCUCAAACUGAAGUUGUAUACUUUAAUUGCCAUGUCAGAAGAAAGUGGAUGUUAGUCGUAAAUAAAAAUUACGCAAAACUUCUUGCUCUGACUUUAGUUUCGUUUGGACCAGGAGAAAUUCUAAAUUAGUGACGCAUCACUCAUCUUAAUGUACGUGCCACUGUUAAUGGCAGUCUUCUUGAUCUUGCGGCAACUUGCAAGGUGGACUACAUAUGAACCUUUUGCCUUUCAUGACCUGAAACAAAAAUGGAUUUAAUCGCGGGGAACAUAAAAGAUUAGUUUAAGUCUUCAAUCAAAUGCAAAAAAAAAACUCCUUUUGCCACUUGCACUUAUUGUUUUAUCAUCUUCGUGUCAUUGUUGGGUCCUCAUCUGGAUCUAGUAUUUGAGUUCCAACUAGUCUAUGAAAGAUGGAGAGACGUUGGUCUCUUCAGGCCAAAGAUUUGAGCUUGGCUUCUUCUCUCCAGGAAGCUGCAAGAACAGAUACUUGGGCAUUGAAACAAGAUCACUCCUCAGACAGUUGUUUGGAUUGCUAAAAGAGACAACCAACGGAUUCAAAUGGUGUUAUGACAUUCAGCCAUGCAGGGAAUCUAGUUCUUCUUAGCGGAAAAAAGUCACUACAAAUUUCAUGACUUACGUAUGGUGCUCACAUGAAAGUCAUAUUUUUUUCCCGAUCAGUUGGAUACCAUAACUUUCAUACGGCGGUUAGUUGAUUGUCAUAUAUAUAUAUUUUACUCAGUUGAGUACCGCAUAAUUUUUAUUUGAUCAGUUGAGUGCCAUAUAAUUCUUCAAUGGAUCACUUCAUAACUAUUUAAAAACGUUCACCACGAGUGCCAUGCCAUGUCAAAUUUCUGGCAUUUGGGUCAAUACUUUUUAAAAGUUAUGGCGUUUAAAUGAGUAUUGUAUGGAAGUUAUGACAUUUGUGAUAAUCUUAUCCCUCUUCUCAACUAAUCAAAUGAUUUCAAUGGGUCUUCAAAUUCAGCUCACAUUCUGAUGGUGCCUAUUAUUGGCAAAACUUUGAGUACCCAUCUGAAAUGGUCUUAGUAGAUAUGGAAUUGGGGUCGAACUUGAGCUGGAUUUAAAUGGUAUCUGACCACCUGUAAAAGUGUGGAUGACCCUAUCCCUGGUCAUUGCCACUUCAGAUUAACCACUCAGGGAUUGCCACGAUUUGAAGUGUUGAACGAUGGGUUCAUCUGAACAUAUUGCGAUCGGGAGGUGGCGUGGGAUCCAGUUUGAUGGCGUCUCGAUGCCAGUGGAUCCCAUUGUAAGGCAAACGGUGGUUUACAACCAGACGGAUGCCUACGCCGCGUACCAUCAGCCAUCAAAUGAUGAAAUCCUCACCAGAACACCAAUGUAUGGAUCUGGUUUGGUGCAAUGUUUGUGCGGAAGAAGGGAAGCUUUAGUUAGUCUAUCAUGCAAUUGCUUUCUAUUGAUCCCAUGACGGCUAUGCACUGUGUGGUUUACAAUGGUUUCUGCAAAAGUUACGGACCUUUGAGAUGCGAGUGCUUGCAAGGUUUCCUCCCAGAGCCGCCAGAAGAGUGGCAAAUGCUUUAAUUGGACCAGUGGUUUCUUGAGAAAGUUUCCCCCAAAUUGUUCUACAGGAGAAGCACUUUUCAAACUCUCUGAUUGUAAACUACCAGAUCUGAUCAACCAUUGGUUGGCCACUGGCAUGAGCCUUGAAGAAUGCAGGGUUCAAUGCACACAAAAUUGUUCCCGUAUAGCUUGUGCUAAUCGAUAUAUAUAUUAGUUAUUGGAUCAAAAGCUAAGCUUUUGUGGGUGCUGAAUAACUACAUAUCAUGAGUGGUGCUUCUCAUCAUUGCAUGGUAAGGGCGCUUUAACAUUAUCGCUGGAAUUGGUCUAGGUCUUCUUUGAAAGUGCUAGUAUUACUACCUAGAGGGGGGUGAAUAGGUAUAAAGACAAAUUUGGCCAAUAAAAGUAAUAAAAGUUAUUUUCUCAAAUAAGGUCUUAUUAAUAUCAAACUUCUAAGUUCAAUUCAGACUCAAAUAAGAUAUUUUGGAAUUUACCAGGACACAGAAAAAUAUCGCAAUAACCAAAUUAAGUCUAUGUCCACUCUCCCACACUGACAGCCUUCUAGCUGGAUUUCAUUAUGGAAUCAAAAGAGAAUUACAGUGAUUUGAGUACAAUCACUCAGUGAAGAGUUUGUUUCUCUCACUAAGUCACUCCUUUGUGUGUUUUUUUUGUUGGUAAAAUUAAGAAUGUCACCCCUUUUAUGUUUAUCUCUCUUUUGAGUACAAUUGCAAGCACUAUUGGUGAAGAACAUAUAGUUGGAAAUGCUUCAAACUUUGGAAUUUUAAUUCUCACACGCUAUCUCAAAUGAACCGAAUGAUUUCCUUAAAUACUCCUCCAUGUCUUUCUAAUUGUUGGUACUUUCCAGAGGAAUUUAUUCCAAUCAAUCCGUUGGACAGAAUUAAUUAAGGAAAUCUUAUAGCCAUUUGAAGAUUGAGGUAAAAAUCCGAUGAUCCUAGUCGCCCAUACAAUCAGAAUCUAGGUUUUCAUAAGUAGAUGCUUCUCAAAAAAGAACUUUUCAAAAUUGAUUUCAUCAAUCCAUGAUUGCUUUCAUCAAUAUAUUUAGAAAAGAUAAGUGAGAUUCUCCGCCAGAAAGCCAAUUAUGUCUUGAUCAUACUGAAUUCUAGUUGGAAGAUCAAUAAGCUUGAGUAUGAAUAUGUCUUCAUUCUAGACUGGGUUAAGUCUGGAUGGGAAAGACUUUUGAUGUAAAAAGACUUUGACAGCAUUCCUCGAUAUAACAUCGAAGUCCAAUGUUCCUCGGAACAAGAAUAAGAAUAAGAAUAAGAGAAGAAAGGUUUUGUCAACUUCAAAACCAAAUAGGAGUUUUCUCAACAAUCUUUACCUCCACGAAGAUUCAAAACUUCAAGUCAUUCACGGAGACCUUAAAAUUAGCAACGUCUUAUGGAUGACAAUUUAAAUCCAAAAUUUUCUAACUUCAUUGACAAGAAUCUUUUGGAAGUGAAGAAACAAAAGCAAGAACUAGAAGGAUCAUCGGCACUUGGUAAGUGCUCAUCUCAUUUCGUGACCUCCAAAGUUCAUGAGUUCUGAAACAUCGGGAGAAUUGAGACAUGAUUUACUUGAUGCAGUGGCUAUAGGUCCCUAAGACUAUGCCUUGGAUAAAAAAUUCUCGACGAAAUCCAAUGUACUAUGUAGUGCUCUUCUUGGAAAUGGAUAGUGGCAAAAGCAAUAGAGGAUUCUGCCAUCCGAGUCACCUUCACAACGUUCUCGGACAUGUAAUGCUAUUUCUUCUUAUACUUAAUUCCUUCUGAUGUUCAAAUCAUUACAGAUUCACAUAUUGGCUUCUAGUCGCUUAUCAUGUUUGGCGACCAACCAACUCAAGUUGAUCCUUCCUAGGCAUGGUUGCUGUGGAAAGAGGGCAUUGCCCUGUGUUGGGAAUGACUGAUCCCCGAAAAACCGGAUUCGAUACCGAAUCGAACCCCUAAAUCAAUGCGGAAGACGAAGCCCGGGAAAUCACGUAUCACCGAUCGUAAAGCACACCACGGAUUCGAGCGUACCUUGUUAGCCACAGAUUAAGCACCGACGCCGAUAGAGGAAGAGAUUUGGCCUUGUUCGAUCCGAUGACGCCUUGAAGGGAAGAAGAACGUGCCUUAUACUUACUGUUUCUUCUUUUUGUUUUUGGAGAGAGAGAGAGAGCGCGCGGGAGAAGACGUACGUUCAUUUUCUAUUUCCAAAAACCAUAUCAUCUCUCUCUCUCUCUCCUCCCUUUUAUACUUUCCCCCAUCCACGGGCCCUAUUCCCGUGGGCCGGGCCUUUUGGGCCCAGCAUGGGCGGACGGGCCUUAAGCCCAUCACCAAUUAAAACCAUCAUCUCCCACUCGCACAUGGUGGGCUGAACAUGAUUCUCUUUACCUCUCUUCAACAUUCAUACCGGUGAAUAAUCCGUGCGACCAGCAUACUUUGAGAGCUCGUUACUAUACAUCUGUUAGGAAUAUAUAGCAGCUCAUAAUGGGCGUCACACUCCGAGUAGAUUUAGUAUGCAGUACCCUAGAUCGAUCAAUCACAUCUAUAUCUCUCUUGAUCUCUUUUAAACAAUGAUAUAUAUAUUGUAUUCACAAUUAUAAUUAUCACAAAGACAGUCAUAAUUGGUCGACCGGUGAAUACAAAACUAUAAUAUGAUUCUCCAAAAUCGAUCUUCCUCUUCCCUUUAAACUCUCAAUUUCAGUUCAGCUUGCUAUUCUAGAAAUGCCCCAUUAGAUCGAAUCAUCUCAUGACCAUUGGCAACACCCUAAGAUAGCAAACACUAAAUAAAAAUCUUGAGAAUAAGUAAGAGUCAUGAGGGGACUAAAAAUUGAGGAACUCUUUUCCUCAAGAGUUUCACACGUCAUAAAAGUUGAGAUCAAACUUUUUGCCACUCUUAUUGGUCGUCUCAUGCAUACGUAGUAUGAAAUACGUAUUACGGUAUUAACUCCUUUCCCAUGGAGCGUAUGUCUACACCUUUCAAUACCGUACAGAUGAUAGUUCAGAUAUACCCAAUGUCUAACUUGAGUUCACGUAUCUACUCAUUCACAAAAUUCAUCAGAACUCACAUCUGGCAUUUUAGACAGAUAAAGUAAAAUAUGUGGGGUAUUUUACUUUCGGACAUCGUAAGUAUUAUGUCCUCAUCUUAACACUUAGUUAAGGCGACAUACGUAUUUUAAGCUUGAGCUCUCGAUUAUCACCUAGAUAAUAAGCUUAAAAUCAGUCUCAUCUCUAUUUAUCACACAGUAAACAUAGGCGAUUACCCGUGUGAGUGGGCUAAUCUUUUAUCUGUCCGACAUACUUCUCAACUUAAAGUAAUGCACUAAGCAUUAAGAUGCAUAAAGAUCAAACAAAGAUUCAUAGGCAUUAAUGAUGAAAACACAAAUUCAUCAAAUGUGAACACUUAGGGAAAAUACAAUAUUUAGUACAUUAGUCUCUACGCAAUCCUAGAGAUUUCAUAUGGCCACAAAACACAUCUCUAGGUAUUGGCUUUGUCAUAGGAUCUGCUACCAUUCUGUGCGUAGUAUGUACUCUAAGUUCACAUCCUUUUGUGCAACCAUAUCCUUUACAAAAUUAUACUUGGUAUCUAUGUGUUCGGUCUUGCCAUGAUAUUUUGGAUCUUUGGUGUACGCUAUAGCUGCUUGGCUAUCACAGUUAACCAAUAAUGGAUUUGCAACUUUCUCAAUAACACCUAAAUGAUCUAAAAAUCUCUUAAGCCAAACUCCUUCUUGUACCGCUGCUGAUAAUGCCACGAACUCAGCUUCCAUCGUGGAAAUGCUAUACACGUUUGCUUUUUACUGCUCCAUGAUAUGGCGCCAUUGUUCAAUAAGAAAGCAAAUCCAGAGGUAGAUUUUCUUUCAUCUAAAUCUCCUCCCCAAUCAGCAUCUGAAUAGCCUUCAAGUCGCAGAUCCUUUCCUUGGUAAUUCAACUUGAAAUCAGCAGUUCUCUUCAGAUAUCUCAGUAUUCUCUUGACGGCUUUCCAAUGUGCUGGACCUGGAUUGGAUUGGUAUCUACUCACCAUUCCAACUGCAAAACAUAUGUCGGGUCUUGUACACAUCAUAGCGUACAUCAAGCUCCCAACAGCACUAGCAUAAGGAACAUGUUUCAUUUGUUCCUUCUCUUGUGGAGUCCCUAGACACAGUCUGUGGCUCAAUCCUUCACCUUUUGCAAUAGGAGUGUCUAUGGGUUUACAGUCUUGCAUACGAAAUCGUUCAAGAACCUUAUUUAUAUAGGUUUCUUGCGAAAGAGACAACGAUCUCUUCGAACGAUCUCUCGAAAUCUUAACUCCUAGAAUGUAUGCAGCCUUACCCAUAUCCUUCAUCUCAAAGUUAGAAGACAACCAUCUCUUGACAGUAUUAACCAACUCCAUAUUACUUCUGGCAAUCAGUAUAUCAUCAACAUACAAUGAUAUGAUCACAAAUUGAUCCUUGGAUCUUUUGAUAUAUACACAAUGAUCCUCAUUAAUCAUUUUAAAAUCAUAUGCCAUUAUGGCAUUAUGAAAACGUAUAUACCAUUGUCUUGAUGACUGCUUAAGACCAUAUAUCGACCUCAAAAGUCGACAUACUUUUUCUUCUUGGCCUUUCACUAUGAAACUAGCAGGUUGUUCCAUAUAUAUUUCUUCCUCUAAUUCUCCAUUGAGGAAAGCAGUCUUUACAUCCAUUUGAUGUAACUCAAGAUCCAGACUAGCCACUAUUGCCAGAAUAAUGCGAAUCGAGGUAAAUCUUACUAUAGGAGAAAACAUAUCUUCAUAAUCAAUUUCUUCCUGUUGAUUAUACCCCUUUACCACAAGGCGAGCCUUAUGCCUUUCUAUCGAGCCAUCAGCCUUUCGCUUUAUUUUGAGAACCCACUUGUUCCCAAUAGCUCUGCAUCCUUUUGGAAGAUCAACCAGUUCCCAGACUUGGUUUGAUUUCAUUGACUCAAUUUCCUCUUCCAUUGUAUGAAUCCAUUUUUCCUUACUAGGGCAAUUCAGAGCCUCAUUGAUAUUUCUUGGCUCAUCCUCAUCUUGUGGAGCAACUAUAAAAGUUUCCCCUUCAAUGUCAAAACGUCGACGGGGAAUACUUUGGCGAUUUGUUCGCCGUAUGGGAGAUUGUACACUUUGCACAUCAUUCCCUAUUAUGCUCCCACUUGGAUGAACUCCACUAAUAUCAUUAUCUUGAUCCAAGGUCUCAAAUAGGGAGUGAUCUUCCCUUAUUUCGCCCUUCUUAGGAAACUCAUCCUCUAAGAAUGUGACAUCCCGUGAUUCAAAUUCAGUUAUACUCCCACUUUCCUACUCACCAAUGAACAUAUACCCUUUCGAGUGUUCCGAGUAUCUUAUGAAAAUACUCUUCUUUCCUCUGGGACCCAAUUUCCCAAACUUGUGAGAGGACUUAUGUGUAUAGGCAGCACAACCCCAUGGCUUAAGAAAACUUAAGUCCAGUUUUCUACCUGUCCAUAACUCAUAUGGAGUAGAAGUAACUGAUUUAGAAGGCACACGGUUAAGUAUAUAGGCAGCAGUUAACAACGCAUCAUUCCAAAAGGUAAUAGGUAAGUUAACAUGCGCCAUCAUGGACCUAACCAUUUCCAGUAGGGUUCUGUUUCUUCUCUCCGCAACACCAUUUUGUUGAGGAGUAUACGGAAUAGACAACUGUCUUUCUAUUCAUUUUUCAUCACAUAAUUUUAUGAAUUCAUCAGAUAAAUAUUCUCGACCUCGAUCGGAUCUCAAUGCUUUUAUUUUCUUAUCUAAUUGAUUCUCUACCAGGUUCAUAAACCUUUUGAAAGAACUUAUUGCUUCAGAUUUAUGAGAAAUCAAAUAGACAUAUUCGAAUCGAGUAUAAUCAUCAAUAAAUGUGAUGAAAUAAACAGCCCCAUGCCUUUCUCUCACAUUCAUUGGACCACAGACAUCAGAAUGGAUUAAAUGCAAAGGAAAUUCAGCUCUUUUACCUUUCCCAAAUGGUUUCCUUGUCGUUUUCCCUUAUAGGCAAUACUUACAUAUGGGCAAAUCGACUUUUUCAAUGUUGCCUAACAAGCCUUCUUUGGCUAGUCUAUUCAUACGUUGUUGGCCAAUGUGACCAAGUUUAGCAUGCCACACAUUCACAUCAUUAUCAUAGGUAUUAGGAGAUGUGAUAAGGGAAUAACAAACAUUUGCAUUAACAUACUCAACAUCUAAUACAAUGAAACCAUCCAGAAAAUAACCACAACUAUAGUAGUUUGUAUCCAAAUACAAAUCUACACCUCUAUUAUGGAAGUUCAUAUUAAAACCUAGUCUAACCAACACUAAAACAGACACUAAAUUCCGACGAAUCUCUGGAGCAUACAAUACAUCAUGUAGGAAUAAAGUGCGUCCACCACGCAUAUUCAGUUGGCAUGUGCCAAUUCCUUUCACUUCAGCUCGGGAGUUGUUUCCCACAUAGAUCCACUUAGUUCCAGUUGGUACUCGUCGGAAUUCCAUGAAGGAUCCUCUAUCCUUCGCUACAUGGUCUGUCACUCCUGAAUCUACAGUCCACAAAGGAUUAGACUCAGUCAAGAAUACAGAACUCGACACAAAAGUAAAGUUCUGAAAAGUACAAGGGGUGUUUACUUUCUUUGGCUCACGACAGUUGCGAGCAUAGUGACCCUUCUUGUCACAAUUGUAACACCUCACCCUUGACAUUUUCUUCACUUGAGGACAUUUUCCUCUCUUGUGUUGGUUAACUUUUGAUUUCUUGCAACAAGGACUUGAUCCUUUGCAAUCCCACAUAUUGAACGAAUCAAUACCCUUGCGCUUAGAGCUCAAAACUCUUUCUGAGCUAGAACGAGCAUUGUAAAUGUCUACUUUCGACUCAAAUGCCAUUAGGCGGUCCUCUACUAGCUCAAGGUGGCGCAUGUCAUCCUCAAGAUCUUCCAUAAUAUGGUCAAGAGCUUCUAGUGCUUCUUGCUUUUCCAGCACAUAUUGGACUUUCAUGUGCCAAAUUUCAUAGUUAUCACCAUUGAGCUUUUCACCUUUGUUCAGCUCGGCAACUAUGCUCUUUGUGGCUGAAGCCAUUGAUCUGAACACAUCAGACAUAUGCACGAAUUAUUAAUGCCUAUCAUUUAUGCAUCCUUUUUUACAUAGACCCAUCAUAUUAAUGAAUAAUUUCAAGUAAGGCUUCAGAAUCAAAAGGUCACUACAUUUCCAAUCAUCAUCCAAAAUCCUAACUUAAAACUAUCAUUAAUAUGAUCGUCAUAUGCAAAAUCAAUUCUAUGAAGCUACAAAAACUUCUAAAACUACCCACAGCUAAUUACCCACAGCAACCAGCAAUAACAGAAAGCAACAGAUAAUUGACAUACAAUUAAAAAAUAAUAAUGCUUUCAAUUAAUACAACUAUACAUUACCCUAAGCAAUAUAUACAAAGAAAAAUAUCAACAUAGAAAGAGAUAUUCAAUCAUAAAAACAUCUCAUAACUAAUCUAAGAAAUAAAUAGGGAAUGUCUCUUCUAAUCUAUCAUUCAGAAUAUCUAAGAAAUUUGAAGGCACAUUUGCCAACCAUGGAUAAACUUUUGGAGAGCUUUCAUGUCGCCUCCAAGGCGCAUUCACUCUGCGCCAUGUAGCGCUCAAUCUAAGGGUUGAAGUUUUGGCCAACUCAAUCCUAUAGUACUCUCUUACAAAAGCUUCCACUAGCCUUCUAUAACCCGGGACCACGUUGACCUCCCAUAGCCGAUCUAACACUACUUGCCAUUCAGCUGGAAGAGUGUUCAUCAGAGCCGGCACCUUCUCAAAAUCCGGCAUAAGAUAGCCAUUGCAAAUGAUUUCCUGUAUCAUCUGAUUGACCCUGACCACAUGUGAUACUAAAUCACUGUCAUGCCACCGAUAAUCAGCUAACUCUGUCAUCAGCCUUUUAAGUCUUGCAAUUCCCUCGUCCGUUCUCGGGAUUGCAGGCAUCCUUGCAUAACGCAUCAUAGUUCCUGCAACAAAUGCAGAACUAAAAAUGGAUUACUUAUAAUCCAUAAUAUACAAAAGGGAAAAUACAUAAUUUUCCAUAAUUCAUGCAACAAAUGCAGAAUAAAAAAAAAAUGGAUUACUUAUAACCCACAUAGGCAUGACUGAAAAAGAAACAAAAAUUUUUUUUUUUUCCGGCUCAACGGUGAAAGUCAACGGUUGUCGGUCAACGGUCAGUCAACGGUCAAGGGUGGUCAACGGUCGUCGGUCGAUCGGGCCGGUCGGGCCGGAGGGGCCGGCUCGGCCGAACCGACGGCACGUGCCGUGCGCGUGCGCGGGCUGACGUCACGCAGACGUCAGUUGGCACGUGCGACGCGUGUGCCGACGUCCUCGGGUUGGGUCGCCGGCCAGUGACCGCCCGGCGAAACGUUGUCGUGCUGACGUCACCCUAGCGGUUACUGACCGUUGGGUGACGUCAGCACGCAUCGGUCCGCGGACCGGCGCGUGCCGGUUUGCCGGCCGGCGGCGUGCACGCGCCGGUUCACCGACCGGGGCGUGUGCCACACGCGCUGGGCGAUCCAACGCUUCCGGGUGCGUCGCGCCCACGCGCAGUGCCUUCCGGCCGCGUGUGUGGGCGCGUGCGGCGUCGCCCGGCGGCGCUCGACGUAUCGCUAGACUCGUCUCGACGUCGCCUUUCUUCCUAUGCCAUCACAAUUUGAUUUCAACUUACGAAAACUCGGAAAAAUGGCCGAACAACGCUCGGGUGUCGGGAUUUCUCGCCCGAUCCGUACGGCCGAAUUGCUUUUGCGAAUAAUCAAUCAAAAAUCGUCAAACAAGUCGGGAAAACGUGAACUAGGACUAGGGCUCUGAUACCAAUGUUGGGAAUGACUGAUCCCUGAAAAACAGGAUUCGAUACCGAAUCGAACCCCUAAAUCAAUGCGGAAGACGAAGCCCGGGAAAUCACGUAUCACCGAUCGUAAAGCAUACCACGAAUUUGAGCGUACCUUGUUAGCCACAGAUUAAGCACCGACGCUGUCACGCCCCGAACCUCGAGCACGCGCACAUCCCACUGCGGUCGAUAGAAAUGCGACUUCCCAGGACACGUCGCCGACCCAUUCUUUUUAAUUACACAUGCGGAAGCGGAUAAAUAGUCCCCAGACAAAACUCAAUUGGGAUAGAAAAGCAGGAUCACAUUUUUAAAACCAACCACAUACUUUUUAUACAUAUCAAACCAGUUCAUUUACAGGACUAGGCUAUUUACAACAGAUCUAUAGAAGAUCAGUCCUCAAAAACUAGGCUGUCCUAAGAUCAGCUAGACAGGUCCAUUCGCCAGCUCUUCAGUCGGGAUCGGCGAAGUCAAAAAAAUCCUCUCAGCGACCCUCACUGGUCUACCAAAAAGCUCCGGAGGAUCCGCCAUCUAGGGACCUGAAAUAUUAUCCCACAACUGGGAUGAGACGAUGUCUCAGCGAGUCCUACCCUCUAAAACUCAAUUAGGAAGAAAAUAAGCCCCAGGGUGCUCUAGCCACACAGAGAAUAGAGGACUUACCUCGCCUCAGUCCUUCCUGCACGUCAGUGCAACUCAUACGUCGAUAAAUUCAUACUAUAUAUCAAUUCAUAUCAUCUAUCAAUUCAUACCAUCUAUUCAUCCAUUAAUAAAUCACGGCUCACACAAGCUGAUAUAGAUGGUAGCUCGCACAAGCUGAUAUAUGCAUAGAUGAUAGCUCACACAAGCUGAUGUAUGGAUCGAUGCUCUCACAAGCUGACAUAUAUAAACCAAUUGCUCGCCAAAGCGGAUAAUUCAAUAAUAAACCAACUCAUAUCUCAAUUCAAUCAAUCAAUCAAUCCAAUCGAUUCAAACUGGUCAUACAAAUCAAUUACGGUGCUAAAAGCUAACACCGGGUAUUUUCAAGUUAAAUACCACAACUUCAUCAAUUUCACACAAUUCCACACUUUUGGAAUUAUUAACCAUAAUCAUCAAUCACUUAAUUUCUCAAUUUAAACAUACAAUUAGCACAAACCGACCGCACUGCUGCGAUCAGCGCGAAAUUCUAACGACCGGCCAUCCCGGCAAAAUUUUCGAAAUUAUUAAAUAAUUAAAUUUAAUUCCGAAAAUUAAAUAAUUAAAUAUUAUAUUAUAAUAAUAUAAAAUAAUAAAAUAAUAUUUAAAAAUUCGAAAUAAUUAUUUAAUUAAAAAUAAUUAAUUAGGGCUUAAAUUAGAUUACACUAAUUUAAACAUACUAUUAGCCCUAAUUAAACAUCCCUUAAACUAAUCAUACAACUAAUCUAAUUUACAUUAAAAUAAUCUAAUCUAACCACCUAAACCUAAUUAAACUAAUCUAAACACCCCUUAAGCAUGAUUAACUUGCUAAGCAAGGUUUAGAGGAUAAACUCACCGGUUUUGCGGGCCGGUGAGUUCACGGCGACCACGACACCAAGGCGGUCGAUAAACCCCAAAGCGGCGACAACAACGAAGGCCGGGAAGGGCUUGAAAACGGGCCACGAAGUCUGGAACUUCUUGCUGUCUUCUGCUUCUGAUCUGGACUGAACUGCAGAGAAGAAACCAGCAACUUCAACGGCGAAAACGGGCUGAUCGGAGCUCCGGCGAGCGGGUGGCUGGCAACCGGUGGCUCCCGGGGGUCAAGGAAAUCUUAUUGGAGGUUGGUAUGGGUGGAGGUAGGGUAGAAAUGGGGAGAAAAUGGCUGAAAACCGCGAAACGGGCGGAACAGGAGGAACCAGGCGAGUCCAGACGGUCCGGCGAGCGGCGGCUUCGGGCGGCCGUACGGGACAGCCGGAGAAUCGUUCCGGCGAGCGGUGAGGUGCUCCGGAACGGGAUGGAUGUCUUCUUCGCGGUGAUGGGUGGCUCGUUCACUGAUUCAACCGGAAAGUUAACUUUUUACUCGGAUCUUUGGCGAAAGGUCGGCUGGAGCAGAAACUGGAACGAGGGGAAAACAAGGGGAAAAAGAGGUCCGGCGGGCAAGAGGAAGCUUCGGGCGGGUCCCAGGCGGUGCUGUGGCUGUCGAACGGCAAGCUAGACGGCCAGAGGACGCGGGACGAAGGCGAAGCAGCGGCUGGACUCGCGGUUGCAUGGGACUGGACGCGACGAGCAAGCUAGCUGCUCCGGUGGGCUCGCGGGGCUUCGGACCGCUGCUGGUCGCUCUCCACUGGUUUCUCAAGCUUUUUCCCUUCCUCAACCAUGGAGAAAGCUGCCGCACGAGGGAUUCAAGGAAGGAGAAGCUUCGGCUGAAGCAAGGGGCCCCCAAGAGCUCUUCUAGCUUCAACACUUGUCAAUCUCUCUCUCUCCUUGCCCCCACCAUGGCCGGCCCACCCUUCAGCCUCUUUCUCUCUCCUCUAGCUUCCCUACAAGCUAGUUAAUAGGUCCAAAAUGUGGUGUGCCAAGGGGAUUUCGAAUUUUGAACAUUUGUUCACUUAAUUCACUCAAUUGCCAAUUAAUUCCAUCCAAUUGAAGCUCAAUUAAAUCAACCCAUGUGUCCUCGGCCUUCUCAUGACAUUUCCCCAUCAAAUGAUCUAACUUGCAUCCCGAAGAUUCGAUUAAAAACGGCCCUCUGACAAUCCCGAACAAAAACGGCCUUACUUUGCUUUUCCGCCAAAAAUCUCGGUUUGUAGAAAAAAUCUUCCGGAGAUGAGUUGACGUUCCUAAAAUGAAUUGUGACAUGCCAGAACCUUCAAUUUCUGAAUCCGGGUUUAAAAUCACGGUUAAUUUCAAUCUGGCGCGAUUUGAGCGCGUCCUAAUCUACCGGGUAGCUUUUAGGAAAUUUUUAGUGCAAUUGACCGUGGUUGAUUAUUUUCAAGCCACGACAUAAAUCUUCGACACAUUAGCGACUUUCGAUUGUCGUGAAAAUCUCGAGGUUUCAAAUACGGACACAGGGUACCCAAAACGACAGAAUAAUCAGUUCAGUGCCGGUCGACGAGGAUAUUGAAAUCAGGUGGAAUCACCCACACUCUAAUUACAUAUCUCAGUCGAAUCGACCUAUUAUUGAUCUCUGUUCGAUUCUGACAGUGUCGUAAUGAUCCUUGCAGAUUUAUACGGUCGAGCAGUCGGUUCAUGGUCAGAUUCUCAAGCCUAUUGCAUUUAAAUUCCUUAACGGCUUCACCUGAUAAACUAGUUAUCUCGUGAGUGAUCAGCUCAGAGAAUUGAACUAUAAGCGCGUCGAUGAAAAGUCCGUCUCAUUUAAUUGAAAACAGAAUCAGAAAUUUGGGAUGUCACAGACGCCGAUAGAGGAAAAGAUUUGGCCCUAUUCGAUCCGAUGACGCCUUGAAGGGAAGAAGAACGUGCCUUAUACUUACUGUUUCUUCUUUUUGUUUUUGGAGAGAGAGAGAGCGCGCGGGAGAAGACGUACGUUCGUUUUCUAUUUCCAAAAAGCAUAUCAUCUCUCUCUCUCUCCUCCCUUUUAUACCUUCCCCCAUCCACGGGCCCUAUUCCCGUGGGCCGGGCCUUUUGGGCCCAGCAUGGGCGGAUGGGCCUUAAGCCCAUCACCAAUUAAAACCAUCACCCUGGAACUUAAGGUUGAUUCUUUAGGUAACUUUCCAUCGAAUCUCAAGCAAAGAGAUGUAUCUAGGUUAGUCAGCUGUUCAUCCAAAAAUAUCCCAGAGAGGCCAUGGGUGCGAUCCAUGGUUAUCAUGUUGGCAAAUGAAGAAGCGACAUUGCCACUGCCUAAACAGCCCGAUUUCUUCAUUGGAGGAAGUCCCACAAACUAGGUUGUGGCUUCACCAAGAGAGCUCUUGACAGAUAGCAUGGUUGCACAUCAUGCUGCUAGAAUGUCAAUAUACAUACCGUUCAUUGGAAUUGUUUGUCUCUAGGGAUGUAUUUAGGUAGGGCUAGAUUCAUCAUAUAGAGGGGGUGAAGAAGUGACAAUACGGAAUCAAAGCAAAAUUAAGAUGAUAUUGCUAUAGGACAACAUUUGAUAACACUGUGCAGUGCUUAGAUCUUGGCAAUAUGCAAUAAAUCUACCACAAAAUAUAUAUAGGAGUUUAAGGCAUAGAAAAUAUUGCACACAACAAAUUUAUAGUGGUUCGGCUUUAACAAGCCUACAUCUGCUCGCUUGCACUAACAACCUAUCGAUUGGAUUUCACUAUAAUCAAUCAAUCAUAGGUUACAAGGAUUGAGUAUUCACUACUCAAGCUCGUGUAAGAGAUUAUUCCUUCUCACACUUACGACUGUUGAGAAAACUCCUAUUAGGUUUUGAAGUUGACAAAACUUUCUUGUUCUUGUUCUUGUUCUUAUUCUGAAGAAUACUAGACUUUUGAGCUAUAUCGUAAACUUUUGUCAAAAUCUAUUUAUUACAUAAGUCUUUCCCACUCUGAUGUGAUUUAGAUUGAAACCAAGUCUAGAACAAAGAUAUAAUCAGACUCAAGAUUAUUGAUCUUAUGACAAGGAUUUAGUAUGAACGUUAUAGAGAUUUAUCCUUAAUAUCUAGCUUUCUGGUGAAGAAUCUCAUUUACCUUUUAUAUAUACAUUGAUGGAAUUAAUCAUGAAUUGAUGUCAAUUAAUGUGUAACUAAUAAUUUUAGAAAAAAAAGACGUCACCGAUGAGGCAUGCGGUUUGACAAUAUUCGCCAGCAUGACUUGACUAAUACAUAAGAAUAUAUACGUGCGUCCAUAUGUAUGUGUUUAUAUUAUAUAGUCAAUUCUAGCAUGAAAGCUAAGUUGCGCUGCCGUAUGAACGUGGCGAAAGAGGACCACACAAGGUGUCCAUCCAAAGUCCAAGAAAGGGAGGAAUAGAAAAGUCUAAAAUGGCGGAUCAUAAGUUGGGAUUUACACGACCGAGAUGAGCACAGAGGACUUAUCAAAUUCGAUUCCAGAGGAGGGAUCGCAUUGCCAGUCAACGUCCUAGUUCUUUCGCAUUUUAGGAAACUUAUCUAGGGGAUUUUGCAUCGAUUUGACUUGACCAAAUAUAGAAGACAAAAAAGACUCACGCGGGUGGUGAAUUCUUUUUCCACUUUAAAAUUGUUCAGAUCUCGUCAUACGAAGCUUUUCUUCACGCAAUCGAAUCGUCGAAUUAUAUAUUUGUUGUAGUGGAAUCCCACCGCAUGAAGUACUUUGAAUUCGAGUAUCUAUUGGAAGAUCAUGUGGUAAAAUAAAUACAUAAUGUACUUCACCCUUCGUAGGUAGGAUUCUAGUCUAGUUGUAACUCACAACUUGAUGUGGUCCUAAAAUUGAUUUUUUUUGUUUGUUUGUUUGGAUAGUCCUAAGAUUAGUUGACAUUGAUUUUAGGUGCUUUCGCUCUUAGCGUUUGAGCAUAUUACAUGGUGAAUAAUUCUUUUUUAUUGAUGCAAUUCGGUCAUCCUAUGAAAACUUAAUAAAUAUUCUAGCGUAAUAAUUAAUUAUCACGUUGGGCAUUUUCAGCAGCACGUAUAUUCUAAAAAGUCAAAGCAAAAGAGUUGUCGAUAAGGAUCACCUAUCCUUAUCAAUUGUCACGACAACAAUAGGGGUAAUGACCCUCACCAAACUUAGGCAAGUCAUGCAAGUUUGCCACAGAAUCCUGGAAACAAUGUUUAGCAAGGGUUGGCUCCUUGCUGCCGCUUGCGGGACGAGGAAAGGUGGCCUGCACGCGACAGCGAGGGUUCUUGGACCCUCCUCAAUGGUUGAGGGUGCUCGUCCCGCCUAGCCUUCCCCCUCAUCUCUCUCCAACCUUUUUUCCUGAUGAUUUUUUUUUUUUUUGUUUAUGUAUCGUUAUUGCACAUCAACAAUUAGCCCGGGGAAUGCGCGGGUCCUAAGUUGAACGUGAAUUGUUGCGUCGAUGUUUUCGUCAAACGGGAGAACUAACAAAAAAACAAUAAAUAGGGAAGUCGCUAUUUCCAUCCCAUUCAUUCAUUGCCCACUGAAAAAAGGAAUUCCCCUCUAAUUGGCUAUCUUGUCUCCCAAACCUUUGUUGGACAUCUUAUCUGGCGAUGUGGACGGAUUCACUUUUGAGUUAAUGCAAUUUCCCUUUUACAAAAAAAAAAAAAAGAGGCCGAAAUAUCUUUUAAAUUAAAAAAAAAAUCAAUUUUUGGGCACUUAAUAAGAAACCGUUUGAGGUAAGCGUGCCAUUUUCCACGUACUAUUAUUUUUUUAAUUAAUACUUUGGAAAUCGACAUAUUAAAAUAUUGACUAUAAUCAACAAGGGCCACUAUCCAAUUCACAAGACCUAGUGGUCUUAGGCUUAGGGUCGGUCUAGAUUCACUCGUGAUUUGGAACCUAUUCUAUUGGAACCAAUUUGCUUAUUGUUGGAACUUGAAACUAACCAUGUCAAUCAGCUCCCAGGUUUAGGAUUGAUUUUGGGGUCUAUCGAGGAAUCAACCAAUUUCUUUUUUCUCUUUUUAAUUAUUUUUCCUUUUGUUUGUUUCAUUUUUAGUUAAGCAAAAUGAAAAUGAACACAAUAACAAAAAUCCAAUAAUUCAUAAAAGAUAAACAAAUAGAAUAAAAUAAACAAUAAAAGUUGUAAAACACGUAAACACGGUUUACCAGUUUCUAGUUCCCAGUUUGGUUUUUCGGUUCGUUCCUUAACUAGGAAUUGAGAAUCGAAACUUAUGAGGGGAAGUCGAAUUUCAUAGAGUCACCUACACUGAUCCCCCUGCCCUUUCUAACCGAUAAAGAAGAGCCGAAAAGACCGAAGCUCUUGUUCUUUUUAGUUUCAGUGUCCUUGCCUCUAUUAUCUCUCAAACGGUUGUUCUGUUCUGGAGAUAAAUAAUUGAAAUAUCAGAACCGGUUGUUCUGUCAUUUUUUGCUCGGUCACUGGUUGGCCGUCACGAAACAUUGUUUAGCUUUAAAGUAAUUAAGUCCUCGAUAGGAGAAAUAUGCAACAUAAAGCGGGAAACAUGAAUUAUUAUCGGAGGUGAGUAGUCAAUUGCCAUGGUCCAUGGAAAUCAAUUAUAUAUACAAACAUCGAAGUUUCCAAGCUGACCCGGUUUCUGCUUACAAGGAUCGGUUAGAAUAGGUUAUUCUCCUGUUUAGUCCCGGCCACCUAAGCCAUGGGUUUCGACCGCAAUUCUUGAUUGUUUUAUAAUGCUGCUAAACUUGCUUUUUUUUUUUUUUACCACCAAUGAGCUUUAUCAGUUUUUCUUUCUGCAGGCAUUUCUUUGUAAUCCUUCACAUUUCAUCCAUGCGAUUGCUGGCUUAAGUUUGCGGAAUUGAUCCUCUAGCAAAAUAGUAGUUGGGAAUGGGAACUGAAGAACCGAAAGACCCUUUGAAGGGGAUGGACUGGAAAGCCAUCGGCAGUGACCUACAGAAGGAUCCUUCUGCUAAACCAAUUGUAAAGAAGCGAUCGCCAAGAAAGAUUAAGCAAAUACCGGACUAUUAUUUUCUUUCUUGAAGAUCUUUGGCCUCAACUAUUGCCUUUUAUGGGGCAUGCAUUGCUGGUGGAAUUGGUGCUGGAAUGCUGUUGGAGAUCUGGAUAAACAAGAAAAUCAAAGGUGAGUGAUAUUUCAUUGAUUUCUUCGUUUGUCUCACAGAUGCUCAGAUCAGACAAUCGUGGUCCUAAUUUCCAUAAUUUCAUUGAAAAUAAUAAUUUCACCUACUAAGGAACAUAUCCUGCCACGAUGUGGAAUCUAGCCUGGAGCCUUUUUCUGUCAAAUGACCUCAUCUCUUUGCACUUGAUGUAUGGAACAUAGCUGGUUUACUCUUGAAUGAUUUAAGUCUUAAACAGGAAGAAUACAUGGGAGGCAAAGCUGAAAAUGGACAGUGAUAAGGACUUGCUUUCUUUUUGAUGCAUUGCAUAAGAAUAUGCAUCACUAGAAUUGAGAAUUUCCAAGACUUUGCGGUUCUUUUAGAAUACAUAGUGUCGGUACGAUUCUCGUCAGGCAGAUCUCCGGCCUUCGCAUGCUUGAAGUGCUCUCGGCCGUCAAAUGUUAACAACUUUCUAUGGACAUGUACUUGUGUACUUCAUAUUAUGUUUUAAUCUAUACAGCAAAUUCGUCAUGCCAUUUGCACAAUGGAAUAAUUGCUUUAUUACUUCCACAUUGCAGAGGAUGGAGGCAUGAUUUGGGAGUUCAACAAGUAGAGGCAGUGUGGCGUGCUUGCUUGGCAAAUUAAUCAACACGGUUGAGAUCAUGCAUGAAGUGUAAAGUGGUUUUACCUCCCGUGAAGCUGAUCAUGUGGAGUGUACAUGGAUUCAUGGGAUAUGGGUUUCUUCUGAGUAAUAAAGUUCAAUAACAGGAUCGUGAGAUCCACCAAAGAAGUUGGUACUUUAUGCAGACCAAGUUAUUAUGGACUGCAUUCAUUUUCAAUUCAGUAUUUUUUUUGCCAAUCAUCGUAACACCUCGAGUAUGACAACAUGGAGGGAUUGCGAAAUGAUACCUGAGACGAAACACGGUGCAAGAAAUCUCCACUUAAGUACUCAUCUUAGGAGUUUCACCCUUGUGCUUAGGCACGAGUAGUCACUAACAUGGCUGUAAUAGUGUGAUGUCUUGAGAUUGGUGAAACAUAUAUAUAGCACCUUCUCGUUUCACCCUUGUGCUUAGGCACGAGUAGGCACGAAUAGUCUACUUAUCAAGUAUGGAACCUUGGUCUAUCUGACUAUAUUCUGUUGAGGUUAUCUCAGACUUUGGCGGUCGGUUUAUAAAUGUAAGAGAAACUCUCUCCUGUAUGAUUGUUGGGUCUUGACUUGUUUGUUACCUAAGAGAUACGGGUUGUUGCUACUCUAACAUGAUGGGAAGAUGGAUCUCAAGCAUGAAUAUCAAGGACGAGAUGGUUGUUGGGUCUUGACUUGUUGGUUACCUAAGAGAUACGGGUUGUUGCUACUCUAACAUGACGGGAAGAUGGAUCUCAAUCAUGAAUAUCAAGGACAAGAAGAAGAAAUUAUGGUCGUCAUUGAAAGACUGUGAAUAAGGCGUUAAAAAAUUUCAACAUGGAUAAGGCAAAACUGAUCACAACUCCUCUAAUAAGCCACUUCAAACUUUUCAAGGAUAUGUGUUAGAAUACUCAAAGAUGAGAUGGUGGUAGUCAAAUAUGCAUCCACAUUGGAAAGUUUGAUGUAUAUCAUGAUGAGCAUAGGACCAAACAUUACAUGAGAGUGGGAGUUGUGAGUUGAUAUUUGCAAAACCAGGCAAAGAGCAUUGGAGUGCACUACAAUAGAUAUUAAGAUAUCUAAGGCAUACCCUCUCACAAACAAACGUUGCUGCCAAUUCAAUGGAAGUCUAGUCUCCUUCAACAUAGUCAUCACUUAGCAAGUAUGCAAUUCAGUGGAAACAGAGAGACAUUUAAUGGACAUUAACAAGUCAUGAAGAAAGAGCCUUCUGUAAUGGAGAUUUCUCUCACCAAAUCAGAAAAAUUGUGAGAAAUCAACCAUCUCUUAAGCAUCAGCCAUCAACACUUUUACAAACAAAACAAAAGUGUACACACAACUGCAUUUUGCAGAGACAAAAGAGGCUAGAGAAAAGCACAAAUGCACCUACUGUGAAGAUCGGCCAGGAUGAACAGGUGCCCCGAGAGUCCAGCAAAAUUCUCCUCUGUAAAUGCGAGUAAUACAUCGUCUGAGCUACUCCACAACACCUCACAGGCACGUUUUUCGGUGAUUACAUCUUCGAAAUCAGACACAAAAAAAAUCGAUUAGCAGACCUAAUCAGUAUUCUCAAGACUGCAAACAAUUUUUUUUUUUUUUUUUUGGUAAAGGACUGCAAACAAAUUUUGGUGUCUCCUAAAAUUGAUAAAUAAAAUCCUUGCCAAAUCUCUAUGUAAGGAAAAAAAUUGGCAGGGUACCUACCAAGGGCUAGCUAAGUAUGUACAUUGUUCUUAUAUCCACAGGAAUGACGACCCUUGCCCAUAAUUCUCCGGGCACCGGCAAUGUUACUAAUCAAGUAGCUAGCAAAAUUUACUGCUGCACUAAGCUCCAUUAACUUCGAACAGAGUGUCUUAGUCAAGUACGAUAAUCUGCUGUCAUCCUUUCACUCAUUAAUUGUAGAUCCUGAGCCUGUUCACGUGUUAGUACUGUGUAAAGUGGCGACGGUCCAUUAGUAGAGUGCUCGUGGAAGCUAUUUAAAUUGCCAGGCAAACUGAUUUUUAUUAUUGUCAAAGUUAACUCUUGGUAUGGUCAUUGACUUUGGGUCAUCAUUUAGAGGAUCGAAAAUGACCAUGAAAUUCCCAAAUGCUAAAUCAGGCUUCAGGAACAGAUCCACCAGCAAAUCGCUGCUUGCCCCGAUAUUUCUCUGCACAAACUUUCUUGGAGUGGUUUCCCAAUCCUUGGCAGCAUGAGAAAUGUGUGAAGCUUCUUUCAAGCCACUCAAGAAGGCACCAUGCAUGCUGGCUGGGUAUUGCCCACUUGUGGCUUCCCCGGCCAAAAAAGGGUUGGUUCCCCACGCUCUCUCCAAGUACGUCAUAAUCUCUACCAAACGAGUUCACCCUUACAAGGGAAUAUGAACCAUAAGAAAGAGGAUCGCUUCCCCAUCUUGUACAUAUAGAUUGUAUAACCUCUAUGCAUGGCAAUCAACCUACGUAACAUAAAAAGGAAGGCAAUUUACUUGCCUGAGGUCCUAGGUGAGUGUUGUCGUGGUUUGGUGAGGUCUCCGAAGUCCGAGGUUGCGGCUGACAUUGUGUGUAUCUGACAUUGAACGAGUGAAAGAAAGAAUGACAAUUCAUGGUUGAAUCUGCAUACAAAACCACAUCAAAAUCAAAUGGUUAUGACGACAAAGUAAGAGUUGAAGCUCCAAUUUCACUUCUGGGUGAAAAAACUAGAGAUACUUGCCCUUCUUUGUCAUGAGCCUAUUAAGUUUACAUCAAAUGUCGAAUCUACACAAGAUGCAGUUGCGGAAAAUCUCCUCUCUAGUCUUCUUAUGAAUCUGACCUUUGUUUAAAAACUCGAGGUUGGACGAUCAUUUUUAAUGGUAAAGGUUUUGAUGAAUUCAACUGCGAAGUACAUUUGAUCAGUAGCUAAUUACUAUAUCUAUCAGACGAUUUCUUUUGGGGAUCAUGUUAUUCAAGUGAUUAACCAAACAAGAAAGAGAUCCUAGAAUAGGAAGGUUUUAGAUUUCACUACUGCGAUAAGUCACCAAUCUACUAACUAUCCCAUCAAAUAAGUCGAAGAUUCGUUAAACUACGAAAUCUUAUUUUGCCGUGAUGUGAUAUAUUUCCGAUGUGAAUAAAGUACCAAAUGAAUGAUUAAGUAUUCCUUUAGUUGUUGAGACAUAUCAUUCUGUAUGAAAGAUGGCCAAUGGGUUCAAGGCAUAACAUUGGUAAUGCUAUGUAUGCUUUUGUUUACCAAGGGUUUGAAUCCCUCUCUUUACGCACCUUGAAGUAAUUUACCAUUGAUGCUAAUCACAAUGUAUCAAAGAAAAGCACAUACCCUAAUUCCAAAAGUUAAAACUUUCUUUGAUAUGUAUUCUCUAUUUCCAAGUCCCCACUCGAAAAUUCUGAUUGGAGGGAAUAAAAUAACCUGGUGAGAUUUAAUUUUCCUUAAAUUGGCCCAGUAUGGGUUAGUAAAAACUUAUGAAUAAAAUCUUAUGUUCAUGAUUGACCGGGGAAACAAUUUACGAUCAAUAGGGCUCCAGUGAACCAUAGUCAAGCAUAAGUGUCAUCUUGCAAGAGAAAAAUUCCGCAUUCCCAUAGUUAUAUGUUAAUUCAUAUCGUGAGAACAUUUAGCAUUUUACCCAUGGCGAGAGUCGUGAUUAUUGUACUUUCCUAUAAUAGAUGCAAAUCAAGCAAUCAUGAGAUAAUUAGUUUUUCUUUUUUAUGCAUCUCGAGUAAUUUUUCAUAUAGAAAAAAACAAAGAAGUAAAUUUAAAUGCAAAUUUCGUCCUUUCGAGGAUUAGUAAUUCUGGUCAAUGAUUUGGGAACACCGGAUGGUUUUUUUAUGGAAUCAAUAUUCGGAAAUUUUGAACGCAAAUAAAAUUUUUCUGUUUUUUUUUUGUGUGUGCGUGUUUGGUGCUCUUUCUUUUCGGGGGCAGGGGGGGUGAUUUACAUAAUCCAACGAUGGUCUAUGCUCGUUUGAAAACGAACGGUGCAGAUAUGCCGAGCACGACAAUCGAGGGGCACUAUCAAUUUCUAGGGUUUUUUUAUACAUAUUAUAAAUUCGAACUACCAAACGUAGCGUGUAAGCCAUCGUGGUUUCUUCCUCCUCUCAUCUUGUCUCUUCCUUAUUUCCUCUCGCCGUAUCCCACCUCUCCAAAUUUCCAUGUGAACGAGAUCGAGAUCGAGGGAGAAGAACUCGAGCGGGCAGUUGAAGCCGGGCCAUGGAAAUUUUGCUGUAACCGGAGUCGAGGGCGUGUGAUCAGGGGCUGAAGUAUCGACGCCAGAGAUUAGCAACUGGACCGGAACUUCAGUCCUCCUCAUUGUACGUUGUCUUUCGGCCUCGUUAUGCAAUUGCAUGCCUGUCCGAAUUUUCUGUUGCAACUCGUGACGCUCUAUUAUAGGAUUUUUCUACUUAAAUUUCCAGAUCUUUUAUAUCUGUAAGAAACAUAAGACACUUAAAUCGUUUAAUCGGCCAAAUAUGGAACAGAAAAAAAGCAAUAAUAAUGUCUGGUCUUGUGUCUGGAGCUUUUUCCCGGAAGGCGUUCUCUAUCAAAUAAGAUAAUUAAUGUUCCCGUUGAGCAAAGAGCGAAGAUUUUUAUUGGUUUAUCAACGCCAAGUUACAUAAUUGGCUUGACUGAUGGCUUCCACUUCAAUCAUUCUCAACUCCAACUGAGGUCGAAAGCCUUUGGUCAAGCCAAGCCAUACUAGAUGCGGGCAAACUUGAUAGUUUACCGUCCAUCGUUACAAUUGAUUGGCAUUAAUAGUAAUCAAGCAAAUUGAAGAACUUGAGGGUGCAGCUGAGCCGGGGCCACGAAAUAAUGUUGAGAGAGAAUCUUAGAUGUAGCAGCAAAUUGGACAAUUACGUUGGGUUUUGGUGAGCUUGACUCAAAAUUUCACUCUUCAUGCUCACUUCACCAAAUCUUUUUUCCUUACAAAUCUCCAAUUCCGUGUCCCAUUUUUUCAUUAUGAAUCUAUGAUUUCACAUAUAGGUUCAUAUAGGCUGAAAUUUUGAGUUGGUAGAACAAUUUGCUGCAUCCGAGUCAUUCACAGAAAAACUAAGCCGGGCUUGUGUAUAAGAAGCAAACGACAGAACAAUAGCUUUUAAUCUGAAGAGCAAAAUUUGAGGAUUGUUUCCUGUCUUUUCAAAAGAAGUUCCCAGGGUCUUGCUUGUUGGUACCCAGUCACUUGAAACAUAUCUGUUCACUCUUCUGUGGGUUACAGGCGAAAUGCCGAGUGCGACAUUUAAAUUAUGGGAGCUUGUUUGGUUUCUGCCUAAUAAAUUGUUGUUGAUUUGUCUGACAUGCCAUGCCCACUGAAUAACCCAAUGCAGAGGAUUUGUCUAACAUGCCACGCCCACUGAAUGCAGAAGAGGAAGAACCCAAUACAGAGGUUCCCCAAGGUAUGUGAAUCUCCCAAUUCCCCUUUUGUAAAAGCUCGUGCAGGAUGCUUAAUUUGUCUUCUAAUCUUCACCUAAUAAUAGGGGUAUAGGCAGGACCUCAGAUUUCUGAUAGUUAUAGAAAAACACAAAAUAAACAUGAACUAAUAGGAAGAGAGGAGCUUAAGAGUCGGUCAUUGACGAUUAAUAGAUCUUUGAAAAUGGUCAGAACAAUACUCCUUAAGUAUGAAAUUUAAAUUUUGAGAAGCAAUGGCUCUCUAUCCCCUCAGAUCACCUACAUAAAGAGCAUUUGCUUUUUUAAAACAGAAGCAAAUUAUGGUUUUCAAUCUGAAGAGCCCAGUUUGAAAUCUGUCUCGCGUGUAUUUUAUAUAAGAAAGCCUCCAUCCGUUUACCCUUUCGUGGGAUGCAGGAGAAAUGCCGAGAGCAUUGGAUCCACUUCCAGUUGUUGAGGUUCUGCCUAAUAACAAGCGGAAGUGUAACUUCUGCGGGAAUGAGUACGUUGGAGACACGAAGAGGAUCAAGGCGCAGUUUGCUGGGGUAGGAGGAUGUGGAAUUCUUGGCUGUAAGGUCUUCAAUGACCGAGUGAGAUCAGAAGCACCAGAGGUGCUGAAGGGUGAAAGAGCAGUGGAAUCGAGCAAGAGACAAGGCAAUGAUGAAGGUUCAUCCAACCUUACACAGAGUUCGCAUCAGCCCUUGACUGCGGGCAGUGAAGUUGCUCGGUGUAAGACUUCAUUUGUUGCCAUGCCGUACCUGAGCUAUGGUGCAGGUUCGUCAACCUUUCUUCCAUGGGCUGAGACGAAUUUUCCCAAUCAGUCUGUUGCUGCUUUAACCAACAUACCACGCCCGCUGAAUGCCAAAGAAGGAGAACUCAAUACAGAGGUUCCACAUGGUAUGUGUGCAUCUCUAAAUUUCAUCUCUAAAUUUGGCAUACGUUGAAGCUUGUGCAGGCUGCCUUAUUUGUCUUCUAAUCUUCACCUAAGAAAAGUGAUACAGGUAUAGAGAAACUGAAAAUGGUCAGGAAUUAAUCGGACAAGAGGAGUUUUAGAGUCGGUCAUUGAUAAUCACUAGAUCUUUGAAAACGAAAAGACAAAUGUUUUGAAGUGUGGCAUUCAAAUCUUGAAAAGCCAUGGCUCUCCCUGUCCCCUCCGAUCUUCUACAUGAGCAUUGGCUUAUAUGGUUAAAUUAUUUAUGAAAGAUAAUUCCCAUGACUUUUAAUUCUAAAUCAAUUCUUUUCUAAUGAAGAGCUCAUGAUAUGGAGUCGCCAGUAUUUCACUAUCGUGACAUCAAUGCCUACAAUACAUAUUAAUUAUUGUAUCGAAUGUUGCAUGUAAUAUUUUAGUUCGAAAAAGUGAAUACAAAGUUACAAUUUUUUAUUUCCAUGAGUGUAACAUACCUAUAAAAUAUAUCUAAGGAGUACCCAAUAGUGAAUUUUCACUUAUAAUUGUGUUUAGGUGCGAGACCGCAUCUUGGACUGGUUAAGAGUCAACGAGGUACCCGUGGGCUUGCCGACGCGAAUAUGAUGUCUCUCAAAAGAAAGCUGGAAGAACUCAUCAGCAGUCGCCAAGCGGACAUGAACGAGCUGAAGUCGAAGUGGACGAGGACAGAAGAAGAAUAUUGGAGUGUGGUUCGGGCAAUCAGAGAAGGAAUAACUUUUCCACCGGAGAAAGUAGCAGAGGUGGAAGGGCUGUGCAAAGAAGUUGAACAGAUUCUUCUAGUUCCAGGAAGAUUUCGGCAAGAGGCGACGGUUAGAUGUUGCAAAACAUCUCCCUCGGUGACAAUAGAAGAAUUAGUAGGCAAAGAAACUCUGCAGAAGGUGGAUGAGAUUGUUUCCUUUAUAAUGCUGAGCAAGGAUUUCGUAAUUGGUGUUUAUGGUAUGGGCGGCGUGGGCAAGACGGCCAUUUUGAGGAAUGUCUAUAAUAGACUCCUUGAGUAUCUUGCAUUGGAUGUAUUCUGGGUUGCUGUACCUCAGGAUUUUAGUGUUUAUGCGCUACAAGAAGCGAUUGCCAAUGCGGUCGGACUAGACAAUCUUUCAAAUGAGAAGGAUGUGAAAAGAAGGGCGGGCCUAUUGUGUGGACAUCUGAAGGUGAAGAAGAGACCCGUCCUAAUUUUAGAUGGCCUUUGGAGGCACUUUGAAGUUAAGGAUGUGGGUAUUCCGGUUGGAAUGGGUAGACUAGGGUUGGUAGUGACAACUCAAUCACUAGAUGUGUGUCGUAUGAUGCUCUGUCAAAAGCAAAUGAAGAUAGAACUUCUCAAUAAGGAAGAUUCUUGGAGGUUAUUUUCAAGGACGCUUUGCUUUGCGGUAGAACAAUCUCAGGAAGUUGAACAAAUUGCAAGAUCUCUUCUUGAUAGGUGUUAUGGUCUGCCACUUGGGAUCAUUGAGAUUGCAACUCGCAUGAGAGGAAUAGAGAAAGAAGAGCAUGCUUGGAGAUGGAUGUUGCAAAAUUUAGAAGACUUAACGAUGGAGCUUGACGUGUUCAAGAGACUGCAGCUCAGUUACUUGAACUUGGGUAAUGAACAAGUGCAACAGUGUUUCCUGCAUUUCAUCCUUUGUUUUGGAAAUUACCUUUCAGCAGAUGACAGAAAGUGUUGCAUAGAGUCUUUCAUAGAUGAGGGUUUGUUAGGUGGAAUUGCCACCAGGAUUAGACUGUACGAACGGGGUAACGAAAUAUUGGGUAAAAUAGAAGGGGCUGGCCUGUUGGAUUUUGAAAAAGGGCAUUGGUGUCUACACCCAUUGACAAGGGACAUGGCAUUGCAUAUGGUGCCGAGCACAACUCACAUGUUUAAGGCCAAUAUGGGUUUGAGAGAAAUACCGGAGGACGUAUUCUGGACCGAUCGUCUAGAGAAAGUCUUUUUACAUGGCAAUGAAAUAGAAGAAAUCCCAUAUGGCGUAUCACCAAAUUGCCCUAAAUUGACGAGGCUGUCUUUGCAUAGCAAUAUCUCCUUGGGAGUCAUCCAUGGAUCUUUCUUCAGACAUCUAAAGGGGCUGACGGUUCUAGAUCUCAGCUGGACUGGAAUCACGGAAUUACCAGACUCCAUCUCUGAGUUGGAGAGCUUGGAAGCACUGUUACUGCAAGGUUGUUCCUCAUUGCGUUUUAUUCCUUAUGUAGGAAAGUUGCGGUCCCUAAGAAAGUUGGACCUCAGUGAUUGUGAAAGUCUUGGAGAAGUGCCAGAGGGCAUGGAGAUGUUGGCAAACCUGAGGUACCUCGCCCUAGAUGGCUCAGAGAUCCACACAUUACCGGAGGGAGUGUUGGGGAAGCUGGUGAACUUGCAAUAUCUUGUGAUUAAAGAGCUAAGGGUGGGAGAAGAGGUAAAAUUACCGGAGGUGGAGGAACUUUAUUGUUCUGUUUCCGAUGUGGAAAUGUUCAAUGCAUGCGUGGGGUGUCUUGAGCGAAAUGGAUCCCCAUGCUACAGGCUUGUGAUGGGUGCACCAAGCAAUAGUGUCCUUUGGUGUGGGAGUGAGACAGAGAGGUCCUUACUCAUUGAUAGUUGCGACCAUAUCGCCGUGAGUGUAGAUGGAACAAGUGGUGAUGGCUGCGCUCUGCUUCCGGAAAGUGUGCAAUCAUUGGAAUUGUCCCGGUGUCAUAAAAUGAAGAGAGUGAUGGAACGGGAGUGGCUGACCGCUCACCUUCCAAAUCUGGAGGAGAUUAUAAUCAUUAGUUGUGAGAACUUAGAGGAAAUAAUACAUGGGCCAUUGCCAAGUGAGGCCACUUGUCGCCUUAAAUAUCUUGAAGUAAAUGGAUGCAACAACAUGAAGAGGGUGCUGCUGACGCAAGACAUGGUGCUCCAUCUCCCUUUCCUCGAAGAGAUAGUAGUCAAAGGCAGCAAGGGCAUAGAGUUGAUAAUGGGCACUGUUGCCAAAAUGACGUACUUCUCCUUCCCGAAGUUAAUGAAGCUGGUUCUAUGUAAUCUUCCGGAACUGAAGAGCAUAUGUGAUGGGAUCACGAGAUGCAAUUCCCUCCAGUGGGUUUCUAUAUACAAUUGUCCAAAACUGAAGAGGAUUCCUCUGCAGCUGCCCCUGCUUGACAAUGGGCUGCCUUCUCCUCCCCCUUCUCUUCGAGAGAUUCAGAUAAAUCGGCAGAUGUGGGAGUUGCUUGAGUGGGAUCAUCCCCUUGCCCGUUCUUCACUUGAACACUUCAUCAAGUUUCUUGGUAAGUAACCCGCAAAUUUUACUUAUUUUAUCCUUUCCAUCUCCCUUGGUCCCUUGUAAGGAUCUGUUCUCCCGCAGUACGGGAAGUUCAUUUUUUUUCCAAAACUUUUAUAGCAAGUGUUAUACCACAUAACUGCUUUGAAACUAGCAAUUAGGCCUGUGCUACACACUGAUAAUUGAAUUCUAUUACUGCUUGAAAGUGCAGCAGAGUAGACAUGUUAUUAUUAGACCUUAGCGAUGUUAAAAAGUUAUUUAGAAAAAAAAAAAAAGAUCUCCCUUAACUUUGAAUGAAUAACAAUGGCAAUUGUCCUUGCUCUCUGUUUUUUUUUUUUUUUUUUUUUUUGGGCCAAGGCACUGGUAUAUUUAGAAGAUGUUUCUCACGCCGAUUUAAAAAAAAAAAAAAAAGCCAUUCUGAGUAUACAAAAUUUGUGCAUAUGCUGAUAUGCAAAUCCCUCUUUCAUAAAUGAUCGGUUUUUGUGGUCACAAAAUGAUCACGACCAAAUGAUUAGUGGCUGCAGAGUUCUCAUACGAAAAAAUUGAAAUUUAUCGUGACAUCCUUGUUGGGAAGAUGCUAAAGCCUAGUAAAAGUAAAAUUUGAUUGGGAAGUUCUACUUUAUUGGUUGGGAUGGUUUAAGAGAGCAUGUUAAAUGCUUUGUACCUUUUCUUUUUGUUGUCUUUUCUGUUUUACCUCAUCCAGUACUUCUAUUUUCAAUUUCAAGUCUUCUGUUACUUUUUAAAUUGAUCACUAUUCUUCAUGAAUACUUUUGAUGGACUUUGUAUUUUCGAUUGCAUAUUUGAACUUUUUGAAUUCCUUUCUGUUAAAUUUGAUUAAGUUCGGUUGGCCUGAGGAGUCUCUAAUUUCUUUAGUUUGUUUAUGUUCUCUCUUUAAUUCGAUUAGGUUUUAUCAUUCAAAGAAGUCUCUAAUCCCUUCAAAUUGUUUUUGGAAUAGAAAAAGAAAUGAGGGGUUAGCUAUAUCUGAAACCUCGUGAAAUCUAUGAGGGCUGAUCUUUUGGAAGUGCAAAUAUUGGACAGAAAUAAGAUGGACGUAGGUGUCAAGAAGCGAAUUGGCCACAGUUCAAGUUUUUCUAAGCUCUCUCAAAAUGCACCACAAUCUGUAUAUAGAUUUCUCAUGCAGUCAUGCGGUAUGCAAUGAUAUUGGGUAUGAGUACGAGAAAGGUCCUGGGGGAUCAAUUGCUCGCCAACUAUAGAAAAACCCCUCUCCCACUCCCUUUCUCAACUGCUUUUAGGUCCUUUAGACCCACUUUGCGAGCGACUAACAAAAGAAUAUUUCUGGUUCCAGACUGAUGAAAGCCAUGGAGGAUCCUGUUGAGUAUGAAUUGUCUUCUGAUGGCAGUGGACAUCAACCUCAACGCCAUUGCUACAUCAAUGUGCUGGAUUUAUGUUUAAAGUACCUCCGAACUUUGUGAUGACAUAUGGUUAAUUUAUGCCUUAUUUUAUAAUCUAUGAUAACUACGUCUGGUUUCUGGAGUCUUGGGUUUGUAUUAUCCCUUAUUUCUACCUCGUGAAACAUUUAUCGGUCCCUCUUUUUUUCCCCCCCCCCCCCCCCAAGCUGACUCUUAAAGAAUUGAUGUGGAUAUGAAUUUGAUUGUCUACUACUUUAAAGUAUAAUCUACUGUGGGAGGUGCUCUUGGUUUGGAGCAGACUAGUGGCUAUUUCACUUGACGCGCUUUAAUGGCAUCCGCAAUGUUGACCAACUCAGGAAUCAUGUGAGCAGCCAGCUUGUGACUAAUGCUCUCGAGAAUGUUUUCAUGCAGAAACCCAUUCUCGUCCUCUUGUUUUAGCAGGGAAAUCCUAGCACUUAAAUUCAGAACACAGAGGAAGACGCCUGACGAUAUGAACUAAACACAGGGGCGUCUUGUCACGAUGAGGUUUGUACCUGUCUCUGGCUGAGGAAAAUAUCUAAUGGACCCUUAUAAGUUUAUGGACAGAUGGUAUCUAACCGCAAAUGUUUGAUCAAAAGACUUGACGUUUCCGAGCGCCCCCCUAGACCGGGCUUCAGUCAGUUGAGUCUUGAAUAUUUAGUGCAUGGUAGUGUUAACCAUUGGUGCGAUCUCCGCAUAUGCGUAUCUCCUGCGUGUGCAACAAAGGCAGAAGCAGACUGAGUCCUGCAGAAUGAUAACGAUUAAAAGUUCUCAUUUCUUCUGUUAUUGUGGCUGUGGUGAACACCAUGGUAACGGGGCAUUAGCUUGUGGAAUGAGAGCAUAGGGCCUGGUAAAUUGAUUUUGUUUCCUAGACAUAAUUUGUAUGUGCGACUUUCAUGCUUGAGACAAAAAAGGGGUGGAGCUAAAUUGACCAACAGAUCUUCCGGAGGAUGAACUGAGCGCUAUUCUAGAUCUUAAAUUUUCAGGCUUAGGUUGGCAAUGAGAAAGUUGUAGAAAGGACAAGUACUAUGGUGAGUGGUUCCAGGUUCCGGUUUGGUUCUGUUUGAAACCUGGAACCUACCCUUGGGUAACCUACCCUUGGGUACAGGUUCCUCAUUUUUUGGAACUUGUAACCUACCUGUCAGAAUUAAGAAUCUGGAAUCUAUUCUGUCACAGAUUCCGAGGUUGGUUCCAAGUUCCAACAGGUUCUUUUUUCUUUCUUUUUUCAUUUUUAGUUUUUAAAAACAAAAAUGAACGCAGCAAUAAUAAACAAUCUUAUACCUCUUAAUCCUCACUCUUUUUUUGAGCUUAUUCUUCAAAUCAUGAUUAACAUAGAAAAAUAGCUUGAACUCAUCAUAACGGUCCGACACCUUGACAAUCCUUCAAGGAGCAAUACUCCAAAAUUGUAGAUGUCUAAUUUUGUGUGGGUUUCCAAGUUUUCAUGACUUCAGGAGCCCGAUAACCUGCACUUCUAGUUCUAGGAGGCACUGUAGGAGAGCAGAUCAGAGGAGUCAGGCCAAACUCUAAGAUACAACCUUCAAGGUAUGCUACCAAACUCUAAGACACAACCUUCAAGGUAUGCUGCCAUGGAUAAACCUACCGCCUUUGGCCGAAUGGAUGUGAGUAAUGCCUUUAGCCACUCCUAUAGAAAUCUUCACCCGCAAUGCCCAGUCCAACGGUUGUCUCCCACCUUCUGCAAAUCAUUAUCAGAAGGUAACUGUCAAAAGUGCAGCAAAUAUGAGACAACCUACACUUCUUUCGACAAACCUUCCCCGUGUAUCCCACUUCACAGUUUUCUCUACUUUACGGACAAAAGUGCUGGUCUUCCCUCCAUUGCACAAAUCAGCCCCAUUCAAAACCAGAACAAGAAUAGCCCCAACAAUAGCCACUGAACAACAAGAUGAAGAUCCCAGAACAACCAUCUUGGUCGUAUUUUGAGAUACGGAAGAACCUACGUGACACAACCCCACAAAUUCCCUUCCCUCACUAUGUAUGUACUUGGAUCACAUAAGCAUGACACUCACAUCUCAGAAAUCGACCAAAUAAAGCAGCUAAAAUGUUAGAUUAGAUAUAACAGUUAAGAGCAGAAACAACAAGAGAUUAGACCUGCGAUUGAAGUUGGAGGAGGCGAGUUUCUUCAGUGUCGAGGGUGUCGGGCGGCGUCGAGGUGGCCAAGCGGGUGUCGAGGGUGUCGAGUAGCGUCGAGGGGCCGAGAGGUGUUGAGGGGGCCGAGUGGGUGUCGAGGGCAUUGAGGGGGCCGAGCGGGCGUCGAGCAGUGUUGAGGGGCCGAGAAGUGUCGAGUGAGUGUCAAGGGCGUCGAGGGGGCUGAGCAGACGUCGAGGGCAUUGAGCAGCGUUGAGGGCCGAGAGGCGGCAAGGGGUGGCGCGAUAGCUUGUCGAGCUCAACGGCGAGACGGCUCGUCGGACGAGCGGUGGGUGGUGGUGGUGAGUAGGGCGUGGGGUGGCGGUGUGGUGGUGGGUGAAGCAGCAGCUAGCAAGAGGAAGGAAGAAGAAGAAGAAGAGGAGGAGGAGAAGAAGGGGGGGUUUCCCUCGAGAGAGGGGGAAAGAGAGAGAGAGAGAGAGAGAAGAAAAAGUUGGGGGGGGGAGGAAGUGACGUGAGGAGGAAAAAGGGGAGAAAAGAAAGAGAGAGAGAGAGAAAAAAAAAGGGAAGGGGGGAAGAAUUGGCGGAAAGGAGGGGAAAUCACGUUGGGGAAAGUGGGGGGCUAGGUUUGUUUUUUUUAUAAUUCUGACCGGUUCCAGUUCCGGUUCCAGAUCCGGUUCCGGUUUCUAUGGGAACCGGAACUGGAACCGGGAACGCCGGUUCCAGAAAAAGGGAAUCGGGAACCGGAACCGGUCCCUUUAGAACUGGGAACCGAACCCGACCUUCCGGUUCGAUUAUCCGGUUCCCCAUUCUACCCAGGAACCAUGCUCACCCCUAACAAGUACAAAUAAGGAUACCUAGAAAGUCUGUAGCUUGUUUUGUAGAGGCUCACUGGUCUACUUCCGAACAGUUUAGAGACAUUAUUGUUCGAUAGUUGCUUAGCCACCAACACAUGCCUUCUAUGAUUUAGAGUAAAGUCUUAUGAAUGUGGAUUGCUUUUGGUAGACAGCAGUAAAAGGAAUAUAGGAGAUUUAAUCAAAGUCAUCACCAUUUUGGACAUUCAAGGAGCAGAAUAUAAUAGUAAUGUUGUAUGUCAGUUUCUUGGAUUUCGUGAAACCUGUGGGCAUUUAUUCGCAAGCUAUAGCUUCUGUUGCUGAUAUUGAGCUGAAGGGGACGGUAUUAAAUGUGAAUAUAGAAGACAGAACAGUUGACAAAAAUGUGAAAAUUUUGAAUUUGGGAGGGAAAUAACCUUGCUUACAAUUGAAAAUAGACUAGGCGGGAUUCAUUCAGGCAUAGCCCCUAUAUGGAGACUGCUAUACGAAUGACAUUGUUCUUUUUUUCUUGGAAAUCAUAGUAAUGAUCAUUCCAAACUUUUCAUUAUCCAAAGGCAACUUGAUCAGUGCACAUGAAGUUAGACAAAUGAGCAAGACGUCAAUACAUUCGCAGCAUUCAAUAUCAACAAAUCCAAUUGUGUGAAAGCACAUCAGGCAUUGGAUUUCGAGAAAUUAUAGAAUGGAGCAAUGGUAGGAUAUGUUCAACGACCUUGGAACCAUCUAGGUCAAACUGAAAUUGUAUACUUUAAUUGCCACGUAAGAAGAAAGUGGAUGUUAGUCGUAGAAUAAAAAUUACGCAAAAAUUCUUGCUCUGACUUUAGUUUCGUUUGGACCAGGAGAAAUUCUAAAUUAGUGACGCAUCACUCAUCUUAAUGUACGUGCCACUGUUAAUGGCAGUCUUCUUGAUCUUGCGGGAACUUGCAAGGUGGACUUCAUGUGACCCUUUUGCCUUUCAUGACCUGAAACAAAAAUGGAUUUAAUCGUGGGGAGCACAAAAGAUCAGUUGAAGUCUUCAAUCAUAUGUAAAAAAACUCCUUUUGCCACUUGCAUUUAUUGUUUUAUCAUCUUCGUGUCAUCGUUGGAUCCUCAUCUGGAGCUAGUAUUUUGAGUUCCGACUAGUCUAUGAAAGAUGGAGAGACGUUGGUCUCUUCAGGCCAAAGAUUUGAGCUUGGCUUCUUCUCUCCAGGAAGCUGCAAGAACAGAUACUUGGGCAUUGAAACAAGAUCACUCCUCAGACAGUUGUUUGGAUUGCUAAUAGAGACAACCAACGGAUUCAAAUGGUGUUAUGACAUUCAGCCAUGCAGGGAAUCUAGUUCUUCUUAGUGGAAAAAAGUCACUACAAAUUUCAUAACUUACGUAUGGUGCUCACAUGAACGUCAUAUUUUUUUUUCCCCAAUCAGUUGGAUACCAUAACUUUCAUACGGCGGUUAGUUGAUUGUCAUAUAUAUUUACUUAGUUGAGUACCAUAUACUUUUUAUUUGAUUAGUUGAGUGCCAUAUAAUUCUUCAAUGGAUCACUUCAUAACUAUUUAAAAACGUUCACCACGAGUGCCAUGCCAUGUCAAAUUUCUGGCAUUUGGGUCAAUACUUUUUAAAAGUUAUGGCGUUUAAAUGAGUAUUGUAUGGAAGUUAUGACAUUUGUGAUAAUCUUAUCCCUCUUCUCAACUAAUCAAAUGAUUUCAAUGGGUCUUCAAAUUCAGCUCACAUUCUGAUGGUGCCUAUUAUUGGCAAAACUUUGAGUACCCAUCUGAAAUGGUCUUAGUAGAUAUGGAAUUGGGGUCGAACUUGAGCUGGAUUUAAAUGGUAUCUGACCACCUGUAAAAGUGUGGAUGACCCUAUCCCUGGUCAUUGCCACUUCAGAUUAACCACUCAGGGAUUGCCACGAUUUGAAGUGUUGAACGAUGGGUUCAUCUGAACAUAUUGCGAUCGGGAGGUGGCGUGGGAUCCAGUUUGAUGGCGUCUCGAUGCCAGUGGAUCCCAUUGUAAGGCAAACGGUGGUUUACAACCAGACGGAUGCCUACGCCGCGUACCAUCAGCCAUCAAAUGAUGAAAUCCUCACCAGAACACCAAUGUAUGGAUCUGGUUUGGUGCAAUGUUUGUGCGGAAGAAGGGAAGCUUUAGUUAGUCUAUCAUGCAAUUGCUUUCUAUUGAUCCCAUGACGCCUAUGCACUGUGUGGUUUACAAUCGUUUCUGCAAAAGUUACGGACAUUUGAGAUGCGAGUGCUUGCAAGGUUUCCUCCCAGAGCUGCCAGAAGAGUGGCAAAUGCUUUAAUUGGGCCAGUGGCUUCUUGAGAAAGUUUCCCCCAAAUUGUUCUACAGGAGAAGCACUUUUCAAACUCUCUGAUUGUAAACUACCAGAUCUGAUCAACCAUUGGUUGGCCACUGGCAUGAGCCUUAAAGAAUGCAGGGUUCAAUGCACACCGAAUUGUUCCCGUACAGCUUGUGCUAAUCGAUAUAUAUUAGUUAUUGGAUCAAAAGCUAAGCUUUUGUGGGUGCUGAAUAACUACAUAUCAUGAGUGGCGCUUCUCAUUGCAUGGUAAGGGCGCUUUAACAUUAUCAUUGGAAUUGGUCUAGGUCUUUUUUGAAAGUGCUAGUAUUACUACCUAGAGGAUGGUGAAUAGGUAUAAAGACAAAUUUGGCCAAUAAAAGCAAUAAAAGUUAUUUUCUCAAACAAGAUCUUAUUAAUAUCAGACUUCUAAGUUCAAUUCAGACUCAAAUAAGAUAUUUUGGAAUUUAGCAGGACACAGAAAAAUAUCGUAGUAACCAAAUUAAAGGAGUUAAGGAAAGAGAAAAUUGAACACAUAAUUUAUAGUGGUUCGGCUUAGAUCAAGCCUACGUCCACUCUCCCACGUUGACAGCCUUCUAACUAGAUUUCAUUAUGGAAUCAAAAGAGAAUUAUGGUGAUUUGAGUACAAUCACUCAGUGAAGAGUUUGUUUCUCUCACUAAGUCACUCCUUUGUUUUUUUUUUUGGUAAAAUUAAGAAUGUCACUCCUUUGUGUUUAUCUCUCUUUUGAGUACAAUUGCAAGCACUAUUGGUGAAGAACAAGUAGUUGGAAAGGCUUCAAACUUUGGAAUUUUAAUUCUCACACGCUAUCUCAAAUGAACCGAAUGACCUCCUUAAAUACUCCUCCAUGCCUUUCUAAUUGUUGGUACUUUCAAGAGGAAUUUCUUCCAAUCAAUCUGUUGGACAGAAUCAAUUAAGGAAAUCUUGUAGCCGUUUGAAGAUUGAGGUAAAAAUCCGAUGAUCCUAGUUGCCCAUACAAUUAGAAUCUAGGUUUUCAUAAGUAGAUGCUUCUCAAAAAGGAACUUCUCUUCGAAAUUGAUUUCAUCAAUCCAUGAUUGCUUUCAUCAAUAUAUUUAGAAAAGAUAAGUGAGAUUCUCCGCCAGAAAGCCAAUUAUGUCUUGAUCAUACUGAAUUCUAGUUGGAAGAUCAAUAAGCUUGAGUAUGAAUAUGUCUUCAUUCUAGACUGGGUUAAGUCUGGAUGGGAAAGACUUUUGAUGUAAAAAGACUUUGAUAGCAUUCCUCGAUAUAACAUAGAAGUCCAAUAUUCCUCGGAACAAGAAUAAGAAUAAGAAUAGGAGAAGAAAGGUUUUGUCAACUUCAAAACCAAAUAGGAGUUUUCUCAACAAUCUUUACCUCCACGAAGAUUCAAAACCUCAAGUCAUUCACGGAGACCUUAAAAUCAGCAACGUCUUAUUGGAUGACAAUUUAAAUCCAAAAUUUUCUGACUUCAUUGACAAGAAUUGGAAGUGAAGAAACAAAAGCAAGAACUAGAAGGAUCAUCGGCACUUGGUAAGUGCUCAUCUCAUUUUGUGACCUCCAAAGUUCAUGAGUUCUGAAACAUCGGGAGAAUUGAGACAUGAUUUGCUUGAUGCAGUGGCUAUAGGUCCCUAAGACUAUGCCUUGGAUAAAAAAUUAUCGACGAAAUCCAAUGUACUAUGUAGUGCUCUUCUUGGAAAUGGAUAGUGGCAAAAGCAAUAGAGGAUUCUGCCAUUCAAGUCACCUUCACAACGUUCUCGGACAUGUAAUGCUAUUUCUUCUUAUACUUAAUUCCUUCUGAUGUUCAAAUCAUUACAGAUUCACAUAUUGGCUUCUAGUUGCUUAUUAUGUUCGGCGACCAACCACUCAGGUUGAUCCUUCCUAGGCAUGGUUGCUGUGGAAAGAGGGCACUGCCCUGGAACUUAAGGUUGAUUCUUUAGGUAACUUUCCAUCGAAUCUCAAGUAAAGAGAUGUAUCCAGGCCAGUCAGCUGUUCAUCCAAAAAUAUCCCAGAGAGGCCAUGGGUGCGAUCCAUGGUUAUCAUGUUGGCAAAUGAAGAAGCGACAUUGCCACUGCCUAAACAGCCUGAUUUCUUCAUUGGAGGAAGUCCCACAAACUGGGUUGUGGCUUCACCAAGAGAGCUCUUGACAGAUAGCAUGGUUGCACAUCAUGCUGGUAGAAUGUCAAUAUACAUACCGUUCAUUGGAAUUGUUUGUCUCUAGGGAUGUAUUUAGGUAGGGCCAGAUUUAUCACAUAAGGGGGGUGAAGAAGUGACAAUACGGAAUCAAAGCAAAAUUAAGAUGAUAUUGCUAUAGGACAACAUUUGAUAACACUGUGCAGUGCUUAGAUCUUGGCGAUAUGUAAUAAAUCUACCACAAAAUAUAUAUAUAGGAGUUUAAGGCAUAGAAAAUAUUGCACACAACAAAUUUAUAGUGGUUCGGCUUUAACAAGCCUACAUUUGCUCGCUUGCACUAACAACCUAUCGACUGGAUUUCACUAUAAUCAAUCAAUCAUAGGUUACAAGGAUUGAGUAUUCACUACUCAAGCUCGUGUAAGAGAUUAUUCCUUCUCACACUUACAACUGUUGAGAAAAAUCCUAUUAGGUUUUGAAGUUGACAAAACUUUCUUGUUCUUGUUCUUGUUCUUAUUCUGAAGAAUACUAGACUUUUGAGCUAUAUCGUAAACUUUUGUCAAAAUCUAUAUAUUACAUAAGUCUUUCCCACUCUGAUGUGAUUCAGAUUGAAACCAAGUCCAGAACAAAGAUAUAAUCAGACUCAAGAUUAUUGAUCUUAUGACAAGGAUUUAGUAUGAACGUUAUAGAGAUUUAUCCUUAAUAUCUAGCUUUCUGGUGAAGAAUCUCACUUACCUUUUAUAAAUACAUUGAUGGAAUUAAUCAUGAAUUGAUGUCAAUAUUAAUGUGUAACUAAUAAUUUUAGAAAAAAAAGACGUCACCGAUGAGGCAUGCGGUUUGACAAUAUUCGCCAGCAUGACUUGACUAAUACAUAAGAAUAUAUACGUGCGUCCAUAUGUAUGUGUUUAUAUUAUAUAGUCAAUUCUAGCAUGAAAGCUAAGUUGCGCUGCCGUAUGAACGUGGCGAAAGAGGACCACACAAGGUGUCCAUCCAAAGUCCAAGAAAGGGAGGAAUAGAAAAGUCUAAAAUGGCGGAUCAUAAGUUGGGAUUUACACGACCGAGAUGAGCACAGAGGACUUAUCAAAUUCGAUUCCAGAGGAGGGAUCGCAUUGCCAGUCAACGUCCUAGUUCUUUCGCAUUUUAGGAAACUUAUCUAGGGGAUUUUGCAUCGAUUUGACUUGACCAAAUAUAGAAGACAAAAAAGACUCACGCGGGUGGUGAAUUCUUUUUCCACUUUAAAAUUGUUCAGAUCUCGUCAUACGAAGCUUUUCUUCACGCAAUCGAAUCGUCGAAUUAUAUAUUUGUUGUAGUGGAAUCCCACCGCAUGAAGUACUUUGAAUUCGAGUAUCUAUUGGAAGAUCAUGUGGUAAAAUAAAUACAUAAUGUACUUCACCCUUCGUAGGUAGGAUUCUAGUCUAGUUGUAACUCACAACUUGAUGUGGUCCUAAAAUUGAUUUUUUUUGUUUGUUUGUUUGGAUAGUCCUAAGAUUAGUUGACAUUGAUUUUAGGUGCUUUCGCUCUUAGCGUUUGAGCAUAUUACAUGGUGAAUAAUUCUUUUUUAUUGAUGCAAUUCGGUCAUCCUAUGAAAACUUAAUAAAUAUUCUAGCGUAAUAAUUAAUUAUCACGUUGGGCAUUUUCAGCAGCACGUAUAUUCUAAAAAGUCAAAGCAAAAGAGUUGUCGAUAAGGAUCACCUAUCCUUAUCAAUUGUCACGACAACAAUAGGGGUAAUGACCCUCACCAAACUUAGGCAAGUCAUGCAAGUUUGCCACAGAAUCCUGGAAACAAUGUUUAGCAAGGGUUGGCUCCUUGCUGCCGCUUGCGGGACGAGGAAAGGUGGCCUGCACGCGACAGCGAGGGUUCUUGGACCCUCCUCAAUGGUUGAGGGUGCUCGUCCCGCCUAGCCUUCCCCCUCAUCUCUCUCCAACCUUUUUUCCUGAUGAUUUUUUUUUUUUUGUUUAUGUAUCGUUAUUGCACAUCAACAAUUAGCCCGGGGAAUGCGCGGGUCCUAAGUUGAACGUGAAUUGUUGCGUCGAUGUUUUCGUCAAACGGGAGAACUAACAAAAAAACAAUAAAUAGGGAAGUCGCUAUUUCCAUCCCAUUCAUUCAUUGCCCACUGAAAAAAGGAAUUCCCCUCUAAUUGGCUAUCUUGUCUCCCAAACCUUUGUUGGACAUCUUAUCUGGCGAUGUGGACGGAUUCACUUUUGAGUUAAUGCAAUUUCCCUUUUACAAAAAAAAAAAAAAGAGGCCGAAAUAUCUUUUAAAUUAAAAAAAAAAUCAAUUUUUGGGCACUUAAUAAGAAACCGUUUGAGGUAAGCGUGCCAUUUUCCACGUACUAUUAUUUUUUUAAUGAAUACUUUGGAAAUCGACAUAUUAAAAUAUUGAAUAUAAUCAAGAAGGGCCACUAUCCAAUUCACAAGACCUAGUGGUCUUAGGCUUAGGGUCGGUCUAGAUUCACUCGUGAUUUGGAACCUAUUCUAUUGGAACCAAUUUGCUUAUUGUUGGAACUUGAAACUAACCAUGUCAAUCAGCUCCCAGGUUUAGGAUUGAUUUUGGGGUCUAUCGAGGAAUCAACCAAUUUCUUUUUUCUCUUUUUAAUUAUUUUUCCUUUUGUUUGUUUCAUUUUUAGUUAAGCAAAAUGAAAAUGAACACAAUAACAAAAAUCCAAUAAUUCAUAAAAGAUAAACAAAUAGAAUAAAAUAAACAAUAAAAGUUGUAAAACACGUAAACACGGUUUACCAGUUUCUAGUUCCCAGUUUGGUUUUUCGGUUCGUUCCUUAACUAGGAAUUGAGAAUCGAACCUUACAGUAUUAACUCUAUUUUAAAAGAUAUCAAGAAUCAAAUUAGUAAUCACAAGAAUCUAAUCGGACUGAUAAAUUAUGGCCGGUUUGGUUUAAUUUCAGUUCUAUCUUGAACUUAUGCUCACCUAAUUCUAUUAUGUGUUAGCGGCUUAAACGCAGAAAGGGCAUCGAUCCUUCCUGCCAACAAUAAAUGGCGAAAAGAUACCCCUACUGUUCCGCGAAAUUAUAAAAUUACCAAUCAGAGGGAGCUCGCCGCCGCCGCCCCAGUUCUCUCGCAGCCGCAGUUCGCGAUUUCGUCGGAGUCCAGCGCUCGUCGCCGGCGGUCAAUUCGCCAUUUUACCACCAACGCCUCCUCCAUCACUCCAUCCUCCCAAGCUCUCUCUCUCUCUCUCUCUGCGCGCGCUGUUCAGGUGAUUUUCGUCUGGCGGACUCGGACCUUUUUCAAGCUUCGUUUCUUGCACACUUGUGAAGCUGGGAUUUUUACCGUGAAAUUGCGCGAAUUUUUCGUCUACUUGCGAACCUGGAAAUGCUGAGGUUCAGCUUUAACGUGGGUAAUCGUUAGUAAUCAACCUGGGGAUCUAAUUCGAGCUGAUUUUGCUGAAUAUAAUCAAAUUGAAUUAGUAAACGUGAGUGUUCUUCUGGGUUUUAACUAUUAUCUGCUCUUACAGUAUUUGCAGCGAACCUGUUGGUGAGAAUGUGCUGGUUGGCCAAUGCUUCAGACGCCAAUGUAAUGGCUGGCUGCAACCCAUGUAUAAUUUGGAUUUGCUGAUGAUCAUUUGGGUAAGAAUAAUGAAGGAUGUCAUGGUUUCUUUGGUCUCAAAACUGGGAUCUGUGCUUUGGAUAGUGAAUACUUCUCACAACAAAUGACUGGAAGACAUCAUUUUUCUUGUGAGGGGAAGUCGAAUUUCAUACCGCCUAGAAGGGUCGCCUACACUGAUCCCCCUGCCCUUUCUAACCGAUAAAGAAGAGCCGAAAAGACCGAAGCUCUUGUUCUUUUUAGUUUCAGUGUCCUUGCCUCUAUUAUCUCUCAAACGGUUGUUCUGUUCUGGAGAUAAAUAAUUGAAAUAUCAGAACCGGUUGUUCUGUCAUUUUUUGCUCGGUCACUGGUUGGCCGUCACGAAACAUUAUUUAGCUUUAAAGUAAUUAAGUCCUCGAUAGGAGAAAUAUGCAACAUAAAGCGGGAAACAUGAAUUAUUAUCGGAGGUGAGUAGUCAAUUGCCAUGGUCCAUGGAAAUCAAUUAUAUAUACAAACAUCCGAAGUUUCCAAGCUGACCCGGUUUCUGCUUACAAGGAUCGGUUAGAAUAGGUUAUUCUCCUGUUUAGUCCCGGCCACCUAAGCCAUGGGUUUCGACCGCAAUUCUUGAUUGUUUUAUAAUGCUGCUAAACUUGCUUUUUUUUUUUUUUACCACCAAUGAGCUUUAUCAGUUUUUCUUUCUGCAGGCAUUUCUUUGUAAUCCUUCACAUUUCAUCCAUGCGAUUGCUGGCUUAAGUUUGCGGAAUUGAUCCUCUAGCAAAAUAGUAGUUGGGAAUGGGAAUUGAAGAACCGAAAGACCCUUUGAAGGGGAUGGACUGGAAAGCCAUCGGCAGUGACCUACAGAAGGAUCCUUCUGCUAAACCAAUUGUAAAGAAGCGAUUGCCAAGAAAGAUUAAGCAAAUACCAGGCUAUUAUUUUCUUUCUUGAAGAUCUUUGGCCUGAACUAUUGCCUUUUAUGGGGCAUGCAUUGCUGGUGGAAUUGGUGCUGGAAUGCUGUUGGAGAUCUGGAUAAACAAGAAAAUCAAAGGUGAGUGAUAUUUCAUUGAUUUCUUCGUUUGUCUCACAGAUGCUCAGAUCAGACAAUCGUGGUUCUAAUUUCCAUAAUUUCAUUGAAAAUAAUAAUUUCACCUACUAAGGAACAUAUCCUGCCAUGAUGUGGAAUCUAGCCUGGAGCCUUUUUCUGUCAAAUGACCUCAUCUCUUCGCACUUGAUGUAUGGAACAUAGCUGGUUUACUCUUGAAUGAUUUAAGUCUUAAACAGGAAGAAUACAUGGGAGGCAAAGCUGAAAAUGGACAGUGAUAAGGACUUGCUGUUAGGGAAAUCCCUUAUGAUGUUUUGAAGAUGACAAAAUAAAUCAAAGGCUACUAACAUGUUUGAUGGUUGAGUAAUAGACCAUGCAGAUGAUAGAACAUGUAAAGGAUUUUAUCAAAGUCAGAAGACGACCAGAAGACUGAAUGUAACAUAUGUCCAGAGUAUAUUUUGAAGAUUUCCAGACUUCUGUGUCAAAGUCUGAAGACUGCCAGACUCAAGACUCAAAGUCUGAAAAUUGCCAGACUUUAGUGUCAAAGUCUGUUCUACAUCAGAAGUCUGUCAACUCUGACUAAUUCCAGACUGAACGUGAAUGAUGAACCAGAAGACAGACUCUAUGCUGAAGCUGAAUUGGGUACAGACCUUAAAGCUAAAUCUGUUUUGAAGCAGAUAUGUUCAGACCCAGAUUGUAAAGUCUACAGACUCAUAUUGUAAAGUCUACAGACUCAGACUUUACAUCCAGAUUCGAUGAAUCGUAACUCAAGCCCAAUCAUACAAUAGCUAGUGAUCUGGUUUGGAUUCCACAUCAAGAUUGAUUUGAUUGAUUCAAUCUAAUUGAUUGACGAUUGGAUCUUGAAGACAAGAACUUUCUACACGAAGAAGCUUUACUUAUGGAAACCAAGAUUUCGUUUGUAUGGGCGAUCGGAAUCAAUUUGGGAUUUUACCUUUGUCACUCAACGGCUACCAAAUCUUCUAGAUACAGAGCUAUCCAAUGGGUAUAUUGGAAGACGAUUCUCCGGGAUACUGUCCAACGGCUAGUUUGGAAGUGAAGGAGUAUUUAAGGAGAUGAAGGACCGAUGAGCAAGUAAGAGACGGAGCGUAGAAUUUAUAAUUCCAAAGUCUGAGCGACUUUCGAUCAUAUACUUGUCUCUUGAGAGCUUAAACGUUUGUAAUCGUGAGAGAAAUACCAAAAGAGUGACUUAGUGAGAUAGUGUGAUCUACUACUAAGUGUUUGCACUCGAAGUUGUAAUCUCUUAUUGAUUGCAUAGUGGAAUCAAGCCAAGAAGGCUGUUAGCGUGGGAGAGUGGACGUAGGCUUAGAUUAAGCCGAACCACUAUAAAUCUUGUGUUUUUAUUCUCUUCCCUAACUCCUUUAUUUUACUUGAAGUUUAUUUUAUUCCGCAUAUAUUUGCCAAGGUUUAUUUUAUACACCUAUUCACCCCCUCUAGGUGUUCAUACUAGCACUCUCACUUGCUUUCUUUUUGAUGCAUUGCAUAAGAAUAUGCAUCACUAGAAUUGAGAAUUUCCAAGACUUUGCAGUUCUUUUAGAAUACAUAGCGUCGGUACGAUUCUCAUCAGGCAGAUCUCCUACCUUCGCAUGCUCGAAGUACUCUCGGCCGUUAGAUGUUAACAACUUUCUAUGGACAUGUACUUGUGUACUUCAUAUUAUGUUUUAAUCUAUACAGCAAAUUCGUCAUGCCAUUUGCACAAUGGAAUAAUUGCUUUAUUACUUCCACAUUGCAGAGGAUGGAGGCAUGAUUUGGGAGUUCAACAAGUAGAGGCAGUGUGGCGUGCUUGCUUGGCAAAUUAAUCAACACGUUUGAGAUCAUGCAUGAAGUGUAAAGUGGUUUUACCUCACGUGAAGCUGAUCUUGUGGAGUGUCACGCCCCGAUCCUCCGAGCGCGCGAACAUCCCACUCUGGUCGAUAGAAAUGCGACUUCCUAGGACACGUCGCCGACCCAUUCAAUUUUAUUUACACAUGCGGAAGCGAAACAAAUCCCCUGACAACAUUUAACUUGGGAUAGAAAAGCAGGCAAUCAAUCACAACCAAACAAGCUUUCUAUAAACACAUAGGUUUAUAUACAACACUGGAUGGUCUACAAAAUAGAUAGGCUCAACAACUAGGGAACUGUCCUAUGACCAACUUGUCAGACACGUUCACCGAUUCUUCAGCCUCCACCUUCCGAACUCUAGGACUUCCGGUCCUCCACGACCGUCAUCUAGGGACCUGAAAUAUUAUCCCACAACCGGGAUGAGACUACGUCUCAGCGAGUCCUACCAUCUAAAACUCAAUUAGGAAGAAAAUAUGCCUCAAGGCGCCCUAGCCACACAAAUAGGAUGGAGGACUUACCUCUCCUUAGUCCCUUUCCUGCACGUCAGUACAAUUCAUAUUCAAACAAUGCUCGCACAAGCUGAAUCUACCGACAUACCCAUCGGUCUAUCAAUUCAGUCAAUCCAAUUGAUAUCAUACGAUCCACAUAUCUAUCAAUUCAUAUCAUCUAUAAACAAUACCAUCUAUUCAUCCAUCAAUACAAUUAUGGCUCGCACAAGCUGAAUUGGAUGCAAUGCUCUCACAAGCUGAUAUAGAUGGUAGCUCGCACAAGCUGAUAUAUGGAUCGUUGCUCUCACAAGCUGAUAAACGAUCAUUGCUCUCAUAAGCUGAUAAAUGAUCAUUGCUCUCACAAGCUGACAUACAGUGCUCACACAAGCUGACAAUGAUGCUCACACAAGGUGAUACAUAUAUAAACCAAUUGCUCGCCAAAGCUGAUAAUUCAAUAAUAAACCAACUCAUACCUCAAUUCAAUCGAUUCAAACUGGUCAUACAAACCAAUUACGGUGCUAAAAGCUAACACCGGGUAUUUUCAAGUUAAAUACCACAACUUCAUGAAUUUCACACAAUUCCACACUUUUGGAAUUAUUCACCAUAAUCAUCAAUCACUCAAUUUCUCAAUUUAAACAUACAAUUAACACAAACCGACCGCACUGCUGCGAUCAGCGCGAAAUUCUAACAACCGGCCAUCCCGGCAUAAUUUUUGAAAUUAUUAAAUAAUUAAAUUUAAUACCGAAAAUUAAAUAAUUAAAUAUUAUAUUAUAAUAAUAUAAAAUAAUAAAAUAAUAUUUAAAAAUUCGAAAUAAUUAUUUAAUUAAAAAUAAUUAAUUAGGGCUUAAAUAAGAUUACACUAAUUUAAUCAUACAAUUAGCCCUAAUUAAACAUCCAUUAAACUAAGCAUACAACUAAUCUAAUUUACAUUAAAAUAAUCUAAUUUAAUCACAUAAACCUAAUUAGACUAAUCUAAACACCCCUAAGCGUCAUUAACUCACUAAGCAAGAAUUAGAGGAUAAACUCACCCGAUUAACGAUCCGAACGGCUCAAAACGACAAGGAUGACGCGAGGGUCGAUAGUCUCCAAGGCGGGCCUAGCUUCCGGGGUCGGGAAGCCGGCCAAAACGGGCCAAAUAGCCGCUGUCAUACCCAUUUUUCUGCUCACUGAUCACUGCUGGUUGAGGCCGGGAAAGGGCGGAUCCGGGGCUGGUUGGGGUCGGGAAUGGGCGGAGGAGCUGAACCGGACCUAGGCGGGGCUUCACGGUGGUCGGAGGUGAGCUGGACGGCUCCGGCUGAGCUUCCCCAGAUCUGGAAUGGCUGCUGGAACAGAGGAGUCGGCGAGAUGGAGACUGAGACGGACGGAACAGCGGUGAGGCGACGGCGUGCAACGGUGGCGACUCCAGCUGCGGUGCACGGCGGUGAGGCCUCAACGGCGAGCUGGCUUCGUCGGUCUUCAACUUGCAGGGCGUCGAACAGCAAGGGGGCGGAGGAGAGAGGCAGAGAUGCGCGCGGGUAGGGUGACGGCGUCGCGGUGGCGCGCGGAGCCGAGCGGCGCUGCCGGCUGCUGUUCCGACUGCUGGCUACGACGGAAGAGGGAGCUGCUGAGGUCUUCUUCGACUUGCUGGGUUCUUCGCACAGCAAGAACACGAGGGGGAGAGAGGCAGCGACAGGAGAGAAGGGGAGGAAGAAGAAGACCGGUUCUCUCUCUCUCUCUCUCUCUCUCUCUCUCUCUCUCUCUCUCUCUCUCUCUCUCUUUCUCUUUCUCUUUCUCUCUCUCUUUGGCCCCACCAUGACCUCAUGGAUGAUGUCACACCCCACUAUCUCCCACAACCUUAAUCCAAUGGGUUCAAUUUCAUUUUCCGCCGUGGCAUAAAAUCUUGUACACUUAAUUCCAUCAAUUCUCAAUCAAUUCCAUCCAAUUGAAGCUCAAUUAAAUUAACCCAUGUGUCCUCGACCUUCUCAUGACAUUUCCCCAUCAAAUGAUCCAACUUGCAUCCCGAAGAUUCGAUUAAAAAUGGCCCUCUGACAAUCCCGAACAUAAACGGCAUUACUUUGCUUUUCCGCCAAAAAUCUCGGUUUGUAGAAAAAUCUUUUGAGAUGAGUCGACAUUCCUAAAGUGAAUUGUGACUUGACAGAAUUUCCAAUUUCAGUAAUUGGGUUCAAUUUCACGGUUAAAUUCAAUCUGGCGCGACUUUAGCGCGUCCUAAUCUACCGGGUAGCUUUUAGGAAUUUUCUGUGCAAUUGACCUGUGGUUGAUUAUUCUCAAGCCACAAAGUGCAUCUUCGACACAUUGACGACUCUUGGUUGUCAUAGAAAUCUUAAGGUUUCAAAUACGGACACAGGGUACCAAAACGACAGAGAAAUCGGUCUAGUGCCGAUCAACAAGAAUUAUGCAAUUAGGUGGAAUCACCCACACUAAAUUACAUGGUUCUGUUGAAUUGACCUAUCUCCGAUCUCUAAUCGGUCUGUGCCGUAAUGACCCUUGCAGAUUAGUACGGUCGAGCAGUCGGUUCCUGGUCGAAUUCUCAAGUCUAUUGCGUUUAGAUUCCUUAACGGCUUCACCUGAUAGACUAGUUAUCUCGUGAGUGAUCAGCUCAGAGAAGAAAGCUAUAGAUGCGAAGAUGAAAUGCCCGACUUAUUUAAUUGAAACCAGAAUUGGAAAAUUGGGAUGUCACAUGGAGUGUACAUGGAUUCAUGGGAUAUGGGUUUCUUCUGAGUAAUAAAAAUCAAUAACAGGAUCGUGAGAUCCACCAAAGAAGUCGGUACUUUAUGCAGACCAAGUUAUUAUGGAUUGCAUUCGUUCUCAAUUCAGUAUUUUUUUGCCAAUCAUCGUAACACCUCGAGUAUGACAACAUGGAGGGAUUGCGAAAUGAUAANNNNNNNNNNNNNNNNNNNNNNNNNNNNNNNNNNNNNNNNNNNNNNNNNNNNNNNNNNNNNNNNNNNNNNNNNNNNNNNNNNNNNNNNNNNNNNNNNNNNNNNNNNNNNNNNNNNNNNNNNNNNNNNNNNNNNNNNNNNNNNNNNNNNNNNNNNNNNNNNNNNNNNNNNNNNNNNNNNNNNNNNNNNNNNNNNNNNNNNNNNNNNNNNNNNNNNNNNNNNNNNNNNNNNNNNNNNNNNNNNNNNNNNNNNNNNNNNNNNNNNNNNNNNNNNNNNNNNNNNNNNNNNNNNNNNNNNNNNNNNNNNNNNNNNNNNNNNNNNNNNNNNNNNNNNNNNNNNNNNNNNNNNNNNNNNNNNNNNNNNNNNNNNNNNNNNNNNNNNNNNNNNNNNNNNNNNNNNNNNNNNNNNNNNNNNNNNNNNNNNNNNNNNNNNNNNNNNNNNNNNNNNNNNNNNNNNNNNNNNNNNNNNNNNNNNNNNNNNNNNNNNNNNNNNNNNNNNNNNNNNNNNNNNNNNNNNNNNNNNNNNNNNNNNNNNNNNNNNNNNNNNNNNNNNNNNNNNNNNNNNNNNNNNNNNNNNNNNNNNNNNNNNNNNNNNNNNNNNNNNNNNNNNNNNNNNNNNNNNNNNNNNNNNNNNNNNNNNNNNNNNNNNNNNNNNNNNNNNNNNNNNNNNNNNNNNNNNNNNNNNNNNNNNNNNNNNNNNNNNNNNNNNNNNNNNNNNNNNNNNNNNNNNNNNNNNNNNNNNNNNNNNNNNNNNNNNNNNNNNNNNNNNNNNNNNNNNNNNNNNNNNNNNNNNNNNNNNNNNNNNNNNNNNNNNNNNNNNNNNNNNNNNNNNNNNNNNNNNNNNNNNNNNNNNNNNNNNNNNNNNNNNNNNNNNNNNNNNNNNNNNNNNNNNNNNNNNNNNNNNNNNNNNNNNNNNNNNNNNNNNNNNNNNNNNNNNNNNNNNNNNNNNNNNNNNNNNNNNNNNNNNNNNNNNNNNNNNNNNNNNNNNNNNNNNNNNNNNNNNNNNNNNNNNNNNNNNNNNNNNNNNNNNNNNNNNNNNNNNNNNNNNNNNNNNNNNNNNNNNNNNNNNNNNNNNNNNNNNNNNNNNNNNNNNNNNNNNNNNNNNNNNNNNNNNNNNNNNNNNNNNNNNNNNNNNNNNNNNNNNNNNNNNNNNNNNNNNNNNNNNNNNNNNNNNNNNNNNNNNNNNNNNNNNNNNNNNNNNNNNNNNNNNNNNNNNNNNNNNNNNNNNNNNNNNNNNNNNNNNNNNNNNNNNNNNNNNNNNNNNNNNNNNNNNNNNNNNNNNNNNNNNNNNNNNNNNNNNNNNNNNNNNNNNNNNNNNNNNNNNNNNNNNNNNNNNNNNNNNNNNNNNNNNNNNNNNNNNNNNNNNNNNNNNNNNNNNNNNNNNNNNNNNNNNNNNNNNNNNNNNNNNNNNNNNNNNNNNNNNNNNNNNNNNNNNNNNNNNNNNNNNNNNNNNNNNNNNNNNNNNNNNNNNNNNNNNNNNNNNNNNNNNNNNNNNNNNNNNNNNNNNNNNNNNNNNNNNNNNNNNNNNNNNNNNNNNNNNNNNNNNNNNNNNNNNNNNNNNNNNNNNNNNNNNNNNNNNNNNNNNNNNNNNNNNNNNNNNNNNNNNNNNNNNNNNNNNNNNNNNNNNNNNNNNNNNNNNNNNNNNNNNNNNNNNNNNNNNNNNNNNNNNNNNNNNNNNNNNNNNNNNNNNNNNNNNNNNNNNNNNNNNNNNNNNNNNNNNNNNNNNNNNNNNNNNNNNNNNNNNNNNNNNNNNNNNNNNNNNNNNNNNNNNNNNNNNNNNNNNNNNNNNNNNNNNNNNNNNNNNNNNNNNNNNNNNNNNNNNNNNNNNNNNNNNNNNNNNNNNNNNNNNNNNNNNNNNNNNNNNNNNNNNNNNNNNNNNNNNNNNNNNNNNNNNNNNNNNNNNNNNNNNNNNNNNNNNNNNNNNNNNNNNNNNNNNNNNNNNNNNNNNNNNNNNNNNNNNNNNNNNNNNNNNNNNNNNNNNNNNNNNNNNNNNNNNNNNNNNNNNNNNNNNNNNNNNNNNAUCGGUGGCCAUUCGGACGGAUUUGUUGAUCAUGCAAUUAAAUAUAGUGUGUACGGUUUGAAGGUUGAUAACUUAUUUCGGGAGACUAGAAUACGAAUCGUCAACGAGCUUCAUAUGAAUAAGCGAGUUUCCUUUUUUUGAGAAAAGAAGAUGCUAUUAUUACAGAGUUCGAUAAGUCGAGUGCGUAAAGUCGAUUAUGUAAACAAGUUGGGAAUUUGAUGAGUUGUGUGUACGGCGAAAAAGCAUGAUUGAGCUUUCGCAUCUAGUUAAGAAGGCUUACCUGAAUGAUCAGAAAAGAUUUAGUACCUAAUUGGGUUUUUGUACGUGAGCUUUUCAGCUAAUCAAAAGAGAUCCCGUACCAAAUUGGAUUGUCAGUUAAAUUUUCAGCUUUAGUUACGGAUUAUGAAAUUUCUUGAGUCCUGUCAAGUCGAGUGUGUGCAUUUGCAGAUGCGAGAGCUUGAUAAAUAGGGAGUACGAGGAAGGAACUGGGUCGAGAUUGCUCAUCUUGUCACAAGGCCAAAUGACUAAAUUAAAAACCAAGGUUGGACCAGGAAGCGUUUGUGGUCUGGAUUAGACGACUUUGAGAAUGGACAUUAGUACAUUACCUUGCUAGCGGACUUCUGAUUUUGUAUGGAUCAAUGUGGAGCAAGGCAUGAGAUUUUGGGCCUUUUGAGGAAGGCCUCUUGGCUCACGAAUAACGUGAACCAUAUCUACUUAUCAAGUAUGGAACCUUGGUCUAUCUGACUAUAUUCUGUUGAGGUUAUCUCGAACUUUGGCGGUUGGUUUAUAAAUGUAAGAGAAACUCUCUCCUAUAUGGUUGUUGGGUCUUGACUUGUUUGUUACCUAAGAGAUACGGGUUGUUGCUACUCUAACAUGAUGGGAAGAUGGAUCUCAAGCAUGAAUAUCAAGGACAAGAUGGUUGUUGGGUCUUGACUUGUUGGUUACCUAAGAGAUACGGGUUGUUGCUACUCUAACAUGACGGGAAGAUGGAUCUCAAGCAUGAAUAUCAAGGACAAGAAGAAGAAAUUAUGGUCGUCAUUGAAAGACUGUGAAUAAGGUGUUAAAAAAUUUCAACAUGGAUAAGGCAAAACCGAUCAAAACUCCUCUAACAAGCCACUUCAAACUUUUCGAGGAUAUGUGUUAGAAUACUCAAAGAUGAGAUGGUGGUAGUCAAAUAUGCAUCCACAUUGGAAAGUUUGAUGUAUAUCAUGAUGAGCAUAGGACCAAACAUUGCAUGAUAGUGGGAGUUGUGAGUUAAUAUUUGCAAAACCAGGCAAAGAGCAUUGGAGUGCACUACAAUAGAUAUUAAGAUAUCUAAGGCAUACCCUCUCACAAACAAACGCUGCUGCCAAUUCAAUGGAAGUCUAGUCUCCUUCAACACAGUCAUCACUUAGCAAGUAUGCAAUUCAGUGGAAACAGAGAGACAUUUAAUGGACAUUAACAAGUCAUGAAGAAAGAGCCUUCUGUAAUGGAGAUUUCUCUCACCAAAUCAUAAAAAUUGCGAGAAAUUAACCAUCUCUUAAGCAUCAGCCAUCAACACUUUUACAAACAAAACAAAAGUGUACACACAGCUGCAUUUUGCAGAGACAAAAAAGGCUAGCGAAAAGCACAAAUGCACCUACUGUGAAGCUCGGCCAGGAUGAACAGGUGCCCCGAGAGUCCAGCAAAAUUCUCCUCUGCAAAUGCGAGUAAUACAUCGUCUGAGCUACUCCACAACACCUCACAGGCACGUUUUUCGGUGAUUACAUCUUCGAAAUCAAACACAAAAAAUCGAUUAGCAGACCUAAUCAGUGUUCUCGAGACUGCAAACAAUUUUUUUUUUUGGUAAAGGACUGCAAACAAAUUUUGGUGUCUCCUAAAAUUGAUAAAUAAAAUCCUUGCCAAAUCUCUAUGUAAGGAAAAAAAUUGGCAGGGUACCUACCAAGGGCUAGCUAAGUAUGUACAUUGUUCUUAUAUCCACAGGAAAGACGACCCUUGCCCAUAAUUCUCCGGGCACCGGCAAUGUUACUAAUCAAGUAGCUAGCAAAAUUUACCGCUGCACUAAGCUCCAUUAACUUCAAACAGAGUGUCUUAGUCAAGUACAAUAAUCUGCUGUCAUCCUUCCACUCAUUAAUUGUAGAUCCUGAGCCUGUUCACGUGUUAGUACCGUGUAAAGUGGCGACGGUCCAUUAGUAGAGUGCUCAUGGAAGCUAUUUAAAUUGCUAGGCAAACUGAUUUUUAUUAUUGUCAAAGUUAACUCUUAGUAUGGCCAUUGACUUUGGGUCAUCAUUUAGAGGAUAAAAAAUGACCAUGAAAUUCCCAAAUGCUAAAUCAGGCUUUAGGAACAGAUCCACCAGCAAAUCACUGCUUGCCCCGAUAUUUCUCUACACAAACUUUCUUGGAGUGGUUUCCCAAUCCCUGGCAGCAUGAGAAAUGUGUGAAGCUUCUUUCAAGCCACUCAAGAAGGCACCAUGCAUGCUGGCUGGGUAUUGCCUACUUGUGGCUUCCCCAGCAAAAAAAAGGCCGGUUCCCCACGCUCUCUCCAAGUACGUCAUAAUCUCUACCAGACGAGUUCACUCUUGCAAGGGAAUAUGAACCAUAAGAAAGAGGAUCACUUCCCCAUCUUGUACAUAUAGAUUGUAUAACCUCCGUGCAUGGCAAUCAACCUACGUAACAUAAAAAGGAAGGCAAUUUACUUGCCUGAGGUCCUAUUUAUUCAGUCGAAAUUAGAACCCAAAAAUCUGGAUGUCACACCGAGGCUGCGGCUGGCAUUGUGUGUAUUUGACAUUGAACGAGUGAAAGAAAGAAUGACAAUUCAUGGUUGAAUCAGCAUACAAAACCACAUCAAAAUCAAAUGGUUAUGACGACAAAGAAAGAGUUGAAGCUCCAAUUUCACUUUCGGGUGCAAAAACUAGAGAUACUUGCCCUUCUUUGUCAUGAGCCUAUUAAGUUUACAUCAAAUGUCGAAUCUACACAAGAUGCAGUUGCGGAAAAUCUCCUUUCUAGUCUUCUUACGAAUCUGACCUUUGUUUAAAAACUCAAGGUCGGACGAUCAUUUUUAAUGGUAAAGGUUUUGAUGAAUUCAUUCGAGAAGUGCAUUUGAUCAGUAGCUAAUUACUAUAUUUAUCAGAUGAUUUCUUUUGGGGAUCAUGUUAUUCAGGUGUUUAAUCAAACAAGAAAGAGAUCCUAGAAUAGGAAGGUUUCAAAUUUCACUACUUCGAUAAGUCACCAAUCUACUAAGUAUCCCAUCAAAUAAUUCGAAGAUUUGUUAAACUACGAAACCUCAUUUUGCUGUGAUGUGAUAUAUUUCCGAUGUGAAUAGAAAAGUACCAAAUGAAUGAUUAAGUAUUCCUUCAGCUGUUGAGACAUAUCAUUAUGUAUGAAAGAUGGCCAAUGAGUUCAAGGCAUAACAUUGGUAAUACUAUGUAAGCUUUUGUUUACCAAGGGUUUGAAUCCCUCUCUUUACACACCUUGAAGUAAUUUCCCAUUGAUACUAAUCACAAUGUAUCAAAGAAAAACACAUACCCUAAUUCCAAAAGUUAAAACUUUCUUUGAUAUGUAUCCCCUAUUUCCAAGUCCCCACUUGAAAAUUCUGGCUUGAAGAAAUAAAAUAACCUGGCGCAAUUUAAUUUUCCUUAAAUCGACGUAUUAUGGGUUAGUGGCAACUUAUGAAUAAAAUCUUAUGUUCAUGAUUGACUGGGAAACGAUUUGCGAUUGAUAGGGCUCGGGUGAAUCAUAGCCAAGCAUAAGCGUCAUCUUGCAAGAGAAAUCGUUCGUGUUCCCAUGGCCAUAUGUUAACUCAUAUCAUGAGAACAUUUAGCAUUUUACCCAUGGCGAGGGUCGUGAUAAUUGUACUUUCCUAUAAUAGAUGCAAGUCAAGCAAUCAUGAGAUAAUUAGUUUUUUUUUUUUUAUGCAUCUCGAGUAAUUUUUCAUAUAGAAAAAAAAAAGAAGUAAAAUUAAAUGCAAAUUUCGUCCUUUUGAGGAUUAGUAAUUCUGGUCAAUGAUUUGGGAACAACGGAUGGUUUUUUUAAUGGAAUCAAUUUUCGGAAAUUUUGAACGGAAAAUUUUUAUUUUUAUUUUUAUUUUUGUGUUUGGUGCUCUUUCUUUUCGCGGGGGGAGGGGGGGGGGUAAUUUACAUAAUCCAAUGAUGGUCUGUGCUCCUUUGAAAACGAACGGUGCAGAUGUGCUGAGUGCGAAAAUUUUAGGGUUUUUUAUACCUAGUAGAAAUUCGAACGACCAAACGUAACCUGUAAGCCACUGUGAUUUCUUCCUCCUCUCAUCUUGCCUCUUCCUUAUUUCCUCUCGCCGUAUCCCACCUCUCCAAAUUUCCAUGUGAACGAGAUCGAGAUCGAGGGAGAAGAACUCGAGCGGGCAGUUGAAGCCGGGCCAUGGAAAUUUUGCUGUAACCGGAGUCGAGGGCGUGUGAUCAGGGGCUGAAGUAUCGACGCCAGAGAUUAGCAACUGGACCGGAACUUCAGUCCUCCUCAUUGUACGUUGUCUUUUGGCCUCGUUAUGCAAUUGCAUGCCUGUCUGAAUUUUCUGUUGCAACUCGUGACGCUCUAUUAUAGGAUUUUUCUACUUAAAUUUCCAGAUCUUUUAUAUCUGUAAGAAACAUAAGACACUUAAAUCGUUUAAUCGGCCAAAUAUGGAACAGAAAAAAAGCAAUAAUAAUGUCUGGUCUUGUGUCUGGAGCUUUUUCCCGGAAGGCGUUCUCUAUCAAAUAAGAUAAUUACUGUUCCCGUUGAGCAAAGAGCGAAGAUUUUUAUUGGUUUAUCAACGCCAAGUUACAUAAUUGGCUUGACUGAUGGCUUCCACUUCAAUCGUUCUCAACUCCAACUGAGGUCGAAAGCCUUUGGUCAAGCCAAGCCAUACUAGAUGCGGGCAAACUGGAUAGUUUACCGUCCAUCGUUACAAUUGAUUGGCAUUAAUAGAAAUCAAGCAAAUUGAAGAACUUGAGGGUGCAGCUGAGCCGGGGCCACGAAAUAAUGUUGAGAGAGAAUCUUAGAUGUAGCAGCAAAUUGGACAAUUACGUUGGGUUUUGGUGAGCUUGACUCAAAAUUUCACUCUUCAUGCUCACUUCACCAAAUCUUUUUUCCUUACAAAUCUCCAAUUCCGUGUCCCAUUUUUUCAUUAUGAAUCUAUGAUUUCACAUAUAGGUUCAUAUAGGCUGAAAUUUUGAGUUGGUAGAACAAUUUGCUGCAUCCGAGUCAUUCACAGAAAAACUAAGCCGGGCUUGUGUAUAAGAAGCAAACGACAGAACAAUAGCUUUUAAUCUGAAGAGCAAAAUUUGAGGAUUGUUUCCUGUCUUUUCAAAAGAAGUUCCCAGGGUCUUGCUUGUUGGUACCCAGUCACUUGAAACAUAUCUGUUCACUCUUCUGUGGGUUACAGGCGAAAUGCCGAGUGCGACAUUUAAAUUAUGGGAGCUUGUUGAGUUUCUGCCUAAUAAAUUGUUGUUGAUUUGUCUGACAUGCCAUGCCCACUGAAUAACCCAAUGCAGAGGAUUUGUCUAACAUGCCACGCCCACUGAAUGCAGAAGAGGAAGAACCCAAUACAGAGGUUCCCCAAGGUAUGUGCAUCUCCCAAUUCCGCUUUUGUAAAAGCUCGUGCAGGAUGCUUAAUUUGUCUUCUAAUCUUCACCUAAUAAUAGGGGUAUAGGCAGGACCUCAGAUUUCUGAUAGUUAUAGAAAAAUACAAAAUAAACAUGAACUAAUAGGAAGAGAGGAGCUUAAGAGUUGGUCAUUGACGAUUAAUAGAUCUUUGAAAAUGGUCAGAACAAUAAUCCUUAAGUAUGAAAUUUAAAUUUUGAAAAGCAAUGGCUCUCUAUCCCCUCAGAUCACCUACAUAAAGAGCAUUUGCUUUUUUAAAACAGAAGCAAAUUAUGGUUUUCAAUCUGAAGAGCCCAGUUUGAAAUCUGUCUCCCGUGUACUUUAUAUAAGAAAGCCUCCAUCCGUUUACCCUUUCGUGGGAUGCAGGGGAAAUGCCGAGAGCAUUGGAUCCACUUUCAGUUGUUGAGGUUCUGCCUAAUAACAAGCGGAAGUGUAACUUCUGCGGGAAUGAGUACGUUGGAGACAUGAAGAGGAUCAAGGCGCAGUUUGCUGGGGUAGGAGGAUGUGGAAUUCUUGGCUGUAAGGUCUUGAAUGACCGAGUGAGACCAGAAGCACCAGAGGUGCUGCAGGAUGAAAGAGCAGUGGAAUCGAGCAAGAGACAAGGCAAUGAAGAAGGUUCAUCCAACCUUACACAGAGUUCGCAUCAGCCCUUGACUGCGGGCAGUGAAGUUGCUCGGUGUAAGACUUCAUUUGUUGCCAUGCCGUACCUGAGCUAUGGUGCAGGUUUGUCAACCUUUCUUCCAUCGGCUGAGACGAAUUUUCCCAAUCAGUCUGUUGCUGCUUUAACCAACAUACCACGCCUGCGGAAUGCCAAAGAGGGAGAACUCAAUACAGAGGUUCCACAUGGUAUGUGUGCAUCUCUAAAUUUCAUCUCUAAAUUUGGCAUACGUUGAAGCUUGUGCAGGCCGCCUUAUUUGUCUUCUAAUCUUCACCUAAGAAAAGUGAUACAGGUAUAGAGAAACUGAAAAUGGUCAGGAAUUAAUAGGACAAGAGGAGUUUUAGAGUCGGCCAUUGAUAAUUACUAGAUCUUUGAAAACGAAAAGACAAAUGUUUUGAAGUGUGGCAUUCAAAUCUUGAAAAGCCAUGGCUCUCCCUGUCCCCUCCGAUCUUCUACAUGAGCAUUGGCUUAUAUGGUUAAAUUAUUUAUGAAAGAUAAUUCCCACGACUUUUAAUUUUAAAUCAAUUCUUUUCUAAUGAAGAGCUCAUGAUAUGGAGUCGCCAGUAUUUCACUAUCGUGACAUCAAUGGCUACAAUACAUAUUAAUUAUUGUAUCGAAUGUUGCAUGUAAUAUUUUUGUUCGAAAAAGUGAAUACAAAGUUACACUUUUUUUAUUUCCAUGAGUGUAACAUACCUAUAAAAUAUAUCUAAGGAGUACCCAAUACUGAAUUUUCACUUAUAAUUGUGUUUAGGUGCGAGACCGCAUCUUGGACUGGCUAAGAGUCAACGAGGUACCCGUGGGCUUGCCGACGCGAAUAUGAUGUCUCUCAAAAGAAAGCUGGAAGAACUCAUCAGUAGUCGCCAAGCAGACAUGAACAAGCUAAAGUCAAAGUGGAUGAGGAUAGAAGAGCAAUAUGGGAGUGUAGUGCGGGCAAUUAGAGAAGGAAUAUCUUUUCCACCGGAGAAAGUAGCAGAGGUGGAAGGGUUGAGAAAAGAAGUUGAACAGAUUCUUCUGGUUCCAGGAAGAUUUCGGCAAGAGGCGAUGGCACUUAGAUUUAGGGAAACAUCUCCCUUGUUGACAAUAGAAAAAUUAUUAGGCAAAGAAACUCGACGGAAGGUGAAUGAGAUGUUUUUCACUAUAUUGCGGAAUGAGUCUUUCAUACUCGGUGUUUAUGGUAUGGGUGGAGUGGGCAAGAUGGCCAUUUUGAAGCAUGUCUAUAUUAGUCUACUUGCUUAUCUUCCGUCAUAUGUAUUCUGGAUUGCUGUACCUCAGGAUUUUAGUGUUUAUGCGCUACAAGAAGAGAUUGCCAAUGCGGUUGGACUAGACAAUCUUUCAAAUGAGAAGGAUGUGAAGAGAAGGGUGGGCCUAUUGUAUGGACAUCUGAAUUCAAAGAAGGGAUGCAUCCUAAUUUUAGAUGGCCUUUGGAAGCCCUUUGAAGUUAAGGAUGUGGGUAUUCCAGUUGAAACGGGCAAACUAAAGUUGAUAGUGACAACUCGAUCACCAGAUGUGUGUCGUAUGAUGCUUUGUCAAAAGCAAAUUAAGAUAGAGCUUCUCGAUAUGGAAGAUUCUUGGAGGUUAUUUUUAAAGACGCUUUGCUUUGCAGGAGAACUCCCUCGGGAAGUUGAACAAAUUGCAAGGUCUCUUCUUGAUAGGUGUUGUGGUCUACCACUUGGGAUCAUUGAGAUUGCAACUCGCAUGAGAGGGGUAGAGAAAGAGCGUGACUGGAGAGACAUGUUGGGAAAUUUAGAAGAGUCCAGAAUGGAGCUUGACGUGUUCAAGAGUCUGCAGCUUAGUUACUUGAAUUUGGGUAAUGAACAAGUGCAACAGUGUUUCCUGCAUUCAAUGCUUUGUUCUGGAAAUCUCCUUUCAGAAGCUGACAGAGAGUAUUUGAUAGAGUCUUUUAUAGAAGAAGGUUUGUUAGGUGGAAUUGCCACCAGACAAGGACUAUACAAUCAGGGUAACGAUAUAUUGGAUAAAUUAGAAGGGGCCGGGUUGUUGGAUCCUGAAAAAGGGCAUCGGUAUCUACACCCGUUGACAAGGGACAUGGCAUUGCAUGUAGUGCGGAGCACAACUCACAUGGUUAAGGCCUAUAUGGGGUUGAAAGAAAUACCGGAGGAAGUAUUCUGGACUGAUCGUCUAGAGAAAGUCUUUUUACAAGGCAAUAAAAUAGAAGAAAUGCCAUACAACCUAUCACCAAAUUGCCCUAAACUGACGCGGCUGUCUUUGUAUAACAAUUCGACCUUGGGAGACAUCCAUGAAUCUUUCUUCAUACAUCUAAAGGGGCUGACGGUUCUAGAUCUGGGCCGCACUGGAAUCAGAAAAUUACCGGACUCCAUCUCCCAGUUGGAGAGCUUGGAAGCACUGUUACUGCAAAGUUGUUUCGCAUUAUGCUUUAUUCCUUAUGUUGGAAAGUUGGGAUCCCUAAGAAAGUUGGACCUCAAAGGGUGCGAAAGUCUUGAAGAAGUGCCAGAGGGUAUGGAGAUGUUGGCAAACCUGAGGUACCUCGCCCUAGAUGGCACAGAGAUAGAGACAUUACCGGAGGGAGUGUUGGGGAAGCUGGUGAAUUUGCAAUAUCUCACGAUUAAAAAGCUAAGGGCAGGAGAAGAGGUAAAAUUACCGAAGGUGGAGGAACUUCAUUGUUCUGUUUCCAAUGUGGAAACGUUCAAUGCAUGUGUGGGGUCUCUCGAGCGAAAUAGUUGCCAACAGUACAGGCUCGUGAUGGGUGCACCAGAAAAUUUCAGCCUUUGGUGUGGGAGGAAGAGUGAGAGGUCUUUACUCAUUGAUAGUUGCAACCAUAUUGCUGCGAGUAUAGAUGGAACAAGUGGUGAUGGCUACGCUCUGCUUCCAGAAAGUGUGCAAUCAUUGGAAUUGUCCGGGUGUCAUGAAAUGAAGAGAGUGAUGGAAUGGGAGUGGCCGACCACUCUCCUUCCAAAUCUGAAGGAGAUUAUAACGAAGAGUUGUGAGAACUUAGAGGAGAUAAUACGUGGCCCAUUGCCGAGCGGAGCCACUUGUUGCCUUACAUAUCUUGAAGUAAAUUGUUGCAACAACAUGAAGAGGGUGCUGCUGACGCAAGACAUGGUGCUCCACCUCCCUUUCCUCCAAGAGAUAUUAGUCAAAGACUGCAAGGGCAUAGAGGUGAUAAUGGACACUGUUGCCAAAAUGACGCACUUUUCCUUCCCGAAGUUAAUGAACCUUGGUCUAUGUAAUCUUCCGGAGCUGAAGAGCAUAUGCGAUGGGACCACGAGAUGCAAUUCCCUCCAGUUGAUAUCUAUUGACAAUUGUCCAAAACUGAAGGUGAUUCCUCUGCAGCUGCCUGUGCUUGACAAUGGGCUCCCUUCUCCUCCCCCUUCUCUUCAAGAGAUUUGGAUAAAUCGGCAGACGUGGGAGUCGCUGGAGUGGGAUCAUCCCCUUGCCCGUUCUACACUUGAACACUUCAUCGAGUUUCUUGGUAAGUCGCGCACAAAUUUUACUUCUUUUAUCCUUUCCAUCUCCCUUGGUCCCUUCUACGGAUUGGUUCUCCCGCAGUAUGGGUUGCUUAUUUUAUUCCUAACUUUUAUAGUGAGUGUUAUACCUCAUAACUGCUCAGAAACUAGCAAUUAGGCCUGUGCUACACACUGAUAAGUGAAUUCCACUACAGCUUGGAAGUGCAGCAUAGUAGUCAUGUUAUUAUUAAACCUUAGUUGUUUAAAAAACUUUGAAUAAAUAACAAUGCUUCUAGUCCUCGCUCUCUCCCUCUUUAUUUAUUUAUUUAUUUAUUUAUUUUGGGGGGGAUUUAAAAGAUUUUCUUACACCGGUUUUCUAAAAACAGGCCAUUCUGAGUAUACAAAAUUUUGCAUAUGCUGAUAUGCAAAUCCCUCUGUUAUAAGAGAGCAGUUUUUGUGGUCACAAAACGAUCACGACAUAGAGAUAAGAAAUGAUUAGUGGCUGCAGAAUUCUCGUACAAUAAAAUUGAAAUUCAUCAUGACAUCCUUGUCGGAAGGAUGCUAAAGCCUAGUAAAAGUAGAAUUUGAUUGGGAAUUUUCUACUUUAUUGGUUGGGAUAGUUUCAGAGAGCAUGUUAAAUGCCUUUUACGUUUCCUUUUUGUUGUCUUUUCUAUUUUACCUCAUUCGGUACUUCUAUUUGCACUUUCAAGUCCCUUUUUACUUUUUAAAUUGAUCACUAUUCUUCGGGAGUACUUUUCAUGGACUUUGUAUUUCCGAUUGCAUAUUUGAACUUAUUGAAUUUCUGUAUGUUUAAUUUGAUUGGGUUAGGUUGGCCGGAGGAGUCUCUUAUUUCUUUAGAUUGUUUACAUUCUCUCUUUAAUUUGAUCAAAGAAGUCCUCUAAUCCCUUUGAAUUAUUCUUGGAGGAGAGAAAUAAAUGAGGGGCUAGCUAUAUCUAGAACCUUGUGAAAUCUAUGGGGGCUGGUCUUUCGGAAGCACAAAUAUUGGACAGAAAUAAGAUCGGCGUAGGUGUCAACAAGCGAAUUGGCCAGAGUUCAAGUUUUUCUAAGCUCUCUCAAAAUGCACCGCAAUCUGUAUAUAGAUUUCUCGUGAAUAGUCAUGCGGUACACAAUGAUAUUGGGUAUGAGUACGAGAAAGGACCUUGGGCAUCAGUUGCUCGCCAACUACAGAAAAACGCCUCUCCCACUCCCUUUCUCAACUGAUUUUGGGUUCUUCGGACCCACUUUGCGAGCGACUAACAAAAGAAUAUUUCUGCCCCCAGACUGAUGAAGCCGUGGUGGAUCCCAUUGAGUAUGAAUCGUCUUCUGAUGGCAGUGGACAUCAACCUCAAAGCCAUUGCUACAUCAUCCUGCUCGAUUGAUGUUUAAAGUACCUCUGAACCUUACGAUGACAUAUGCUUAAUUUAUGCCUUAUUUUAUAAUCUAUGUUAACUACGUCUUGUUUCUGGAUUCUUCAGUUUGUAUUAUCCCUUAAUUCUACCUCGUGAAACAUUUAUCUUUCCAUCCCCCCCCCCC
rnacentral:lncRNA from 1 species